CUGCAGACCACACACCACUCUGGUUUUGUUUUUGUUUUUUUUUUGCUCCUGUAAGCAAUUUAACUCACUCUGUAACUUGAAUUUUUAGCAAGAAAUUAUUAACAAUGAUAGUAACAAGGCCUACUGGACUUCUGAUAGUCCUGCAGAAAUUUUUUUUGGGGGAGGGCAUGAUUUUUGGUGCGGCUCUUCCAACUAAAAUAAUGGUAUGGUGUUGUAUUUCUUCAUCAUAGACUGGUCCUAGUCAUUUGGGGAGUGUUAAGUCAUUACGCCAUCAUGCACGUUGUCCAUUAUGCCCACUUGAACAUAACACUGGGUGUUUAUAUAGCAGGGGAGAGUGUUUAUGUCUUCAGGUUAUACCCAAGUAGCACAAGCGUUAGAUGCCUUGCACCAAUUUUCUUUUGGAGAUUUACAUUUCUUAUUUAUUAAAUAUCAAUUUUCUAUUCUCAAGAGUGGGAGAAAAUGAUACUACCUUUUAGAUUUAAAAUUUACCUACUUAUACAUGUAGGGAAUAUACUCUUAUACGUCAGUGUUUUUUCCCCCAUUAUUUAGAUAUGCUUUUGAGUACUAUAAAUAUUUAUUUCUUGUUUAAUACAGAUUAUAAAAAUUUCUGAGUCGAAUAGUGAAUUUUUAAAAUAAUGUUUUCGAGUAUAAAAUUUGAAAAUACUGAAAAGUCAGAAGAAAAACCCAUUACCUACAAUCUCACUACCCCAGAGAUAACACUGUUAAAUAUUUUUCUGUAUUUACUUGUAGUCCUUGUGUUUUUUUAAUGAGUGUGCAUGUGUUUGUGUGUGUGCAAUAAGAGAAUUGAGAUUAUAGCACUCAUACAUUUGCGUUAUGCCCUGUUAUCCUACGUACCCAUGUCUCUGAAAACACCCCUUUAAAAUGGCUGUCUAAUGUGCUGUGCUGUAUGAAACAGCUCUCUUUGGAUGUUAGGCUGUUUCUAAUUGCCCACAGUUUUAUAAUGGUAUGGACAUUCUAUGUAAAUUAGACCCACUCUCUAGGAAAUAAUCAUGAAAAUGAAAUAAAAGGUUUACAUGAUAAUUUCAUAGGCCCUUUAAAGAUAUGCCAAAUUACAUUUUCAACAGACUGUACCAGAUCAUCAGCACCCUCAGCAGCAGCAUUUCUUCUAAUCUUCAAGAAAUUGUUAAGCAAGUAAUUGUUUCUUUUUUAAAGACUUUCUAAUUAAUAAUUUAUUGUCUUUCUAUAAAUUUAGAAUGUUUUUUUUUUUUGAAAAACAACAUUAAAGAGAUGUUUAGUUCUAGGAGUGUGUUAUACUGCACAUUUUUGUUUGUUUAUUUCCUGUGAGACAUGAUUGGCCUAUGUAGACCAUAUUGACCUGGAGUUUUGUGUAGACCAGGAUGGCCUCAAACUCAUGAACAAUGAUCCUCCUGCCUUAGCUUCCCAAGUGCUGGGAUUGGAGGCAUGCAGUCUAUAUGCCCAGCUUGUACUGCUCUCUUAAAACUAGACUAUUCCAACAUCAGUUGUCCUUUCUUAGACUGUGAACAGGCUUUCUUUCUCAUUACUUGUUUUAGAGUAGAAGCGGUUCUAAACCAGUAGUGUUGCUCAGUUCUAGUCUGUCUCUGCUCCUACGUAAUUCUCUGAGCUGAUGUUGCCAUGCUGGCCGUGUUGAAGCUUCCUCAUCUGUGCAGUUGACCUCCUUGUAACUUUAGUUUUUAGUAGAUUUUGGCUUUACAUGUUAAAUUGGUACGCGAUUAGAUAUUUUUGUUUCCACUCUACAUAUGAAAAUGAAAACUUCAGAGAAAGCGGAAAUUAGUUCACUUUAUUAGAUGAAGGCAUCAUCUAAAUUUUUGGACUUAGCCUUCCUAUUUUAAGUGCCUUUAACAGUUUUGUAUUUCAAGUAUAAAAUGUGAAAGAAAUUACUGUGUAAGUCUAUAAUACAAUUUCUCUGUUAAAAACCUUCGAGUUAUUUUCAGUGGCUGUUUGUUUACCUUAGAUCGCACAAAAAGCAUAGUUGUGGAGGCCCCGCUCUCCCAGUAGUCAAGUCCUUAAGAAUGUCACUCUAGAGAUAAGUGACAGGUAAGUGAGCACUCUUUCCUGAAAGCAACAAGUCCUUGUAAGAGCAAAGAACCAGUGAGAGUCCAGUACCUGUAUUUAUCUAAUGCAGUAUCGAUAGGAUUUCCUAAGCCCUAGUCAGUGGCUGUUAUUAUAGUUAUCACAGUUUGCUUUGGAAGCAUGUAGUUCAUUCGCCUAGAUAAGGGGUUGGCAAAUGUUUUCUGUGAGGAUCCAGUUAUUUAUUUUGGACUUUAUGCUCCAGUGGUCUCUGGUCUCAAUUCUUCUCCUUUGCCAUUGUAAUACAAAAGCAGCCAUAGACAAUAUGGAACCAAACACAUGUAUAUAUAUUUAAUAAAAAUUUAGUUUAUACUAUGAUAGAAUGCUGGAAUUGGCCUGAAGACUAUAAUUUAACGUUUCUUAUCCUAGAUGGUAUAAUUCAUUUGUAGUUCAAAGUUGGCCGGUAAUUUAGCAACAGUUUGCAGCAGCUGGCUGUACAUUCCUGCCACUUGAGUCUUCUUUUAAUUUGAUGCAGUGGCAGUGGCUGGGUUUCUUACUGAAUGUUUACAAAGGUAAGCGUGAAGUAGGGAAAAUUUGGAACUCUUGGAGAUUAAUGUCAGAGCACCUUCAAGUCCUUAUAUUUGCUGAAUGAAGUUCUUUGAGUUUUCUUUGCUGCUAUAAACUGAUCAGGAAUGAAAGUAAUGAGUUGUUUGCCUUGCCGUGUAACCAAGGCUGCCCUCACCCUCCCUGCUGUUCAGAUUACAGGCAUGCAUAGCCAGGCCUGUCACGAGUGAACGGUUUUGCAUAGUAUUUCAGGACAUAAGACAUAAGUUUAAAAGGUCCCCUUUUCUGUUUCUCUCAUUUUAUUGAAACGGUGACCUCUAAUAAAUUUAGAAUAAAGGAGAGAUUUUGUUUUCAUUUUGAGACAGGCUUUUUUUUUUUUUUUUUUUUUUUUUUAAAUAAAUCCCGGGCUGUCCUAGAACUUGCUUUGUAGAUCUGGCUGGUCUUAAACUUAGGUCUGCCUGCCUCUGCCUCCCAAGUGCUGUGAUUAAAAGUGUGGACCAUCCACUACCCAGCUGAAAAUUUUAAUUCAAGUAACUUUAGUUGUACUACUAUUUUGUCAGUGAGGACCACAGAACACACCUGUCAAGUAGUACUGUCAGCUCUAUAGACCUAGGCAUUUUCAAAAUGUUCAUAGUUUUCAAAAAUAACCACUGUCAUUAGAAACUAUACUGAGGGGCCUCAAUAACGCACAUACACAGUGCUGUUGAGACUGGAAACUGUUCAUCAUUGUAUUCAAUCUGAAAGUCUACACAGUAAAAGAGAAACAGAAAGACCUGUGUGUAACAUGAGGUGGUUGCCCAUCAUAGGAUAGGUGGCAUUUAUUUUUGAAGAGAGUAGGUUUAAGAAGUAGUCUUCAAAUAUUUGUAUGACUGCCACUCAAGAGGAAUAGAACUGUUCUGUAUUAGUCUAAGGUGGCUUUUGUUGUUGUUGUUGUUUAGUUUUACUUGUCCCUUAAUCCCAGCCUGUGAGAGGUAGAGACAGCUGUAUUGUGAAUUAGAAGCCAGUUUGGGGCAUGUAGCAAGUUCCAGUCCAGCCAAGGCAAUGUAGUGAGACUCUAUGUCCAAAAAACGAGGAGUAAGAAGCAUUAGUUUCUGGUCUGCAUUAAAAGGGAUAUGUGGAGAUUUCUGAUGAUAAAAAUUGGUUCUCAUCAAAUCACUGGAAAUAUGCAAGCAAAAAUAAGAUAUGUGAUUUUUUUUUUUUUUUCCGGAGCUGAGGACCGAACCCAGGGCCUUGCAAUUGCUAGGCAAGCGCUCUACCACUGAGCUAAAUCCCCAACCCCAAGAUAUGUGAUUCUUAAAGUAGCAGUGAUACCAACUGAAAAUGUUUUAUGAAUAAUUGUAUGUGAAUAUAGACAUACAUUUAUAGGGACAAAAGCCAAUGGAAUUACUAUAAUUAAAUGCAACUUCAUUUAUAGGAAAUGUUAUUUUCAAAUUAAAAUGCAUUUUAAACAACAUUAACGUUUAACAUGAUAAAUGAUGCUUAGAACAUGAGGCUAAUUCUUUCCAUGUGAAGAUGUCUAUACAAAACACACUUUUACUAGUUCCUAACACAAAUUGAAGUUUUGUUUUUUUUGUUUGUUUGUUUUGUUUUUUAAAUGGCUGCUUUCUCAAACAGGCACUUCUUCAAAGUGAAGAACAGCCAUACCAGUGUCAGGAAAGUGUCCUGAACUGAAAGAGUUUGCUUUUUGUUUUUUUAUAUAAAAACCAAAUAAUUUAUUGUUGCUCUCUGCAUCAUGGUAACUUAGCACCUUAUUUUUUGGGGUGAACAAAUUUGAGGAGUUUCCAGAGUUUGCUCUUUUUUAUACUUGACAGUGUCAAAGUGUUACAGGAAGCAGCAGCUGGCAGAUUUCAGCAAGUCAGGUUUCCACCUGGCCAGCACAUAGGAUCUCAGUGCACGGCGUACUCUCACUGAGAGCAUCUGGUUUUAUAACUGCUCCCCCAGUGGUGCUGGUACCUGACACCUUGACCUCUUUAAAAUUGGUGUGGAUGGAUUCUGCUUGCUUAGCUGUGCCUUUCUGAGUUCUUAGUACCCGUGAAGAGGUUGAUGUUUCUAAUACCAUUUAUUCAGAGCUCAUUGAUGAUUUCAGACUGCCUUGUAUCUAAGCGCUAUUGGUUUUUUUUUUUUUUUGUUUUUUUGUUUUUUAUUUUUCUUUCCUUCCUAGGUGUCCCCCAACCCCAUUUUUAAUCAAAGGAAAAAAUUUAAAACCAGUUCUUCUGAUUUUAAAAGCCAUAAUAUAAUGCAUUUGUAGUUUUUUUGGUUAAUUAUGUUUUUUUAAUUGGAUAUUUUUUAUUUACAUUUCAAAUGUUAUUCCCUUUUCCCAUUUCCAGGCCAUAAGCCCCCUAUCUCAUCCCCCUUUCUUCUAUAAGGGUGUUCCCCCUCCAAAUAAUCUCCCUCCCCCCCAACAUUCACUUGCACUGGGGGUCCAGCCUUGGCAGGACCAAGGGCUUUUCCUUCUAUUGGUGCCCAACAAGGCCAUCCUCUGCUAUAUAUGCAGCUGGAGCCAUGAGUCAGUCACCUUGGGUAGUGGUUUAGUCCCUGGGAGCUCUAGUUCGUUGGUAUUAUUGUUCUUAUGAGGUUGCAAGCCCCUUCAGCUCUUUUAAUCCUUUCUCUAAUUCCUCCAAUGGGGACCCUGUUCUCAGUUCAUUGGUUUGCUGCUAGCGUUCACCUGUAUUUGACGUGCUCUGGCUGUGCCCAGGUGCAUAUUUAUUAAUGCAAACUUUAGUUUGUAGCUUUGAUAUGAUUGUGCAUAUUAUCUGUUUCCCAAGUAGUGAAACCAAAGAGAACAUAAAUGCCAUUAUUAAAAAGCAGUUGAAGGCCAACGAUAUUCAACCAUAUACGCAGGACCUGAAUUCUGUUCACUUUAUCUGCCAACAUAAAAUUCUGAAAAAUACUCAAAAUUUACUCACUUAUAUUCUGAAUUCCUGAACUCAAUAUGAUGUUAUAUGUUUAAAUAAUAAAAACUAAAAUAAAUGAAAACAAAGUAGAAUAUAUUGACUGAAUUUUGUGUUUUAAAAUUAAGUACUUAAAAAUUGUAAAAUCAGUUUUAAUAAAGGUAUUUUAUACUUAAUUUUUUAUAGAUGGAAUUCUUUUUGAGAUUUUUUUUAUUUGAAAUUUAUUUGAAUAUGGUUCGAAAUAGAAAUUCAGUUGUUGCUUGUUCAAUUUUGGUGAAUUAAAAUUUGAAAGAUGGAGAAGAAAACAAUAAAAUAAAGUGUUUUCUAUAAUCUAGGGUGGUAUAAACCUUUUAAUUGGAAGCUUUUUCCAUUUGUUUGGGUUUAACUGUCGAAAUCAAGCUUCUAACUAAAUCGUGAGGAUAGAAUUUAUAUUUUUAAAGUGUAUAUAAUUCCAAAUGGAAUUAAGUGAUAAUUAGAUAUCCUGGUGUAUUUAGAACCAUUGGUUCAUGAUGCUUGCUCAUUUUGCUUUGAAGCAAUAUCCCAUGGUGCUUGUCCUUAUAUCAUGGUGUUGCGGAAACUUUGGAAGUUAAUUUCGGUGGCUUUGGCUACAUGCCCAGUGUCCCCAGGUGUGUGUACAGUGGAAGGACAUUACAGUAGUGAGAGUCUAUUUCAGCUUUACAGGGGAGUAAGGGGUUUUGCAGUUUUGAUGAAAAUAAUUUUUAGAAAUGCCUCAACUUAUAAAAGUAGUUUUUUUUUUUGUGGGCUCAAAUAACUAUACAUUUAUAUUCUCUUACUGUGGAAUUACUUUACAAUUUUGGAAUUCUGUUCUAGUGCUUACUUAAAACAAUGCCUCUUUAAAAAUAAUGUGUUUAUUUUAUGUACAUUGGUAUUGCAUGUAUAUUUUUGUAAGGAUGUCCCCUACAACAGGAGUUAAAGAUAGUUGUAAGCUACCAUAUAGGUGCUGGGAAUUGAACCUAGGGCCUCUAGAAGAACAGCCAGUGCUCUUAACCACUGAGCCAUCAUUUCAGCCCAACAAUAUCACUUUUAUGUAUGUAAUAGGGUGAUGACAAAAAUUUUGUGUGAGUCUUAGUGAAUUUUGAUGGCAGAUGCCUAACUCUCAACCAUUCUAGUCCUCAAUAAACUGUUGUGUAAGCACCUGCGACUCUACCUUGGCGUUUCUGAGCUAUCUGCAGAACUUAUUAAAGGUCCUGGGAAAAUUAUGCCUGGGGAGCAGCUCUUAGCCAGAGGUGGGUGGAAUUGGGUGAUGAGUCAGUCUUUCUGUGUUUCUGGAUGGUCUCGAGGUAUGUUCCAUGCUGUCGUGUAGAGUUCCCAGGAGAGGACUGGUCCUCAUUGUUCACAGCAAGACUCUGUUAAAUACAAAAGCAAAUGCAGAAUCAAUCAGUCAGUCAGUCAGUCAGUCAGUCAGUCAGUCAGUCCGUCCGUCCGUCCGUCCGUCCGUCCGUCCGUCCGUCCGUCCAUCCAUCCAUCCAUCCAUCCAUCUAUCUAUCCAUCCAUCCAUCCAUCCAUCUAUCUAUCUCUUUGUCUCCCCCUCCCCUCUCUCCCUGCCUCCAUCCCUCUCCCUUCUCUGACACUUCCAUUCCUUUAUGGACAUUUGUUGGGAUCUCCUUCAUAAGCCUUUUAUCUCUGAACCCUUAUCUCUGAGUCUGUCUUUAAUUUUAUAAUGAGAAAGACUCCGAUUUACAACUCAAAAGAUCUUUCUACUUGUGCUUUUAAAAAAGUAUUUUGUGGUUUUGAGUGUGGACAAAGUGAGAGAUUUGGUAGAAAUAAGUAGAAUAAGUAACUCAGUCUGGUCACAUUCAGACAGUAGGUGGCAGUUGGGUCCAGCUUUCCUGUCACUCACUGCUGUGUUUUCAUAAUCAAGGUCCAGGCGUAUGUAGCCUUGUGAGGCGACUGUGAUGGUAAGUUUAGAACUUAAACAGUUUUUAUAAAGUUUAUUCUGUGACCUUAGUUAGAGCGAGACUGUCUAUGGGCUUACUAAAGAUAAAGGAAUAUGGAUUUUAUAAAUCUAGUAAGCUCCACAUUUAAUUUAAAGGCCAUUGAAGGGGCUGUGGAGAUGACUUAGAAGACAUGAGUGCUGGCUGCUCUCAUUAGAGGACCUGGCUCAGUUCCCAGCACCCAUGUGGCAGCUCACACCUGCCUAUAACUGGAUCGCUUCUGGCCUCCAUGGACACCACACAUGCAUGUAGAAAACAUAUGCAAACAGAUAUUGAUACAUGUAGAAUAAAAAUAAAUCUUAAAACCACUGCAGGUUCAAAAGAACAGUCAGGAGGUACUGAGUCAAUUCUAAGUUUUUUUUUUUUUUUGGUUCUUUUUUUCUGAGCUGGAGACUGAACCCAGGGCCUUGCGCUUCCUAGGCAAGCGCUCUACCACUGAGCUAAAUCCCCAGCCCCCAAUUCUAAGUUUUAUAUGUACUGUUGUAUCUGGAUAUUUUUGUUACUGCCUUUGUCUGUAGCAUUGUGUACAGUUCUUCGAUAGCAUCUUUAAAAAUAAUAGAAUGCUGAUUUUUUUAUAAUGAUUGAAAGAAUAUGUAGAAAGUUUGUAUUUAUGUUGGUACAGAGUUUAUAGGAUUUUUUUUACUAUGUAAAAUUUAUUAUAUAUAUCUCAGUUUUAUAGUGAGAGCAUAGAUGAAAUUUAAGUAAAUGUUUAGUUUUAUUUAUAGAAUCAGCCUAAGCUAAUAACACAAAUUUAACUAUGAGAACAUUGAAAAAGUAUUUUUAAUUGGUUUUCCUGGUGUCUUAGAGCUCUUGUCUGUCUGUCAGUCUUUCAUUAGAAAUACCAGAAAAUAUUUAAUAGCUGUUUUUACUUGCCCUUUGACCCUUUGAGAUUCUGUCAUGUACUUUUGAAUAUAUGACAGGAUAUUUCUUGACUUUGAAGUUUUUGGUAGAAAUGAUUAAAGAUUAGCUAGGUAAUAAAAUUUAAACAAUUGAAUUUUAUUAAAGGAUGAAACCUGCUUUUCUCCUGAGACAUGUCAAAUUUCAUUUUUAAAAAAAUGCCUGCCUAUCCCUUCCUUAGAAUCCCACAUUGACACAUUGGAAUAAACUUAUAAUUUGCUAAACUCAUUGCUUCUUUGUACAUAUACCUGUACUAGGAGAAAAAACAUAGCUUAUUGCUUUUCAGGUAUAUUAUCCAAAGAGCUGCUUGGUCACAAAAUCCAUACAUAAGUCUGUGACAUUUAAAAGUCUUCCACUAUGGAAAACAAAGCAUGGGUAAGAACCCCAUGUGAAUUUUAAAACCUAUCUACAGAGUUAGCCUGUUUUCUGAACAUUGAAUUAUUUCUACAUGAAAUAUUAGGUAACGUUCAUUAAAAAUAGGGAAAUGUCCUUUGAGACCCUUAGCUGGGGGUUACAUGUGGUGUUAGCAAUGUUAAGUGUCUAACGUGACCAUUCCGAUAACUUCUGAAAACAAUAUAGAGUACUGUGUGUCUCCUUUUCCCUCAGAGGCAACUGAUUCUAUUUUAUACGCCACAUACGUAUGCAUAUAAAGUUUGGUCUAUUUAAAAUCCAUAAACUAUAAAUCUUUUUGUGACUGAUUUAAUUCUCUUAACAUGAUUUAUCUUGGUCUGUUCUUCUAUAAAGGAUGCAACUUCAUUUUUAAAUUAUUGUUACUGAUUUAUUUUUUCUUUUACUUUACAUCCCAAUAGAAGCUUACCCUCCCUCCGCUCCUCCCAGCCCCUCCCUCUCUUCCCCUUCCCUUUCUUCUCAGAGAAUUGGGAUUUCAAGGUGCAGUAGGAUUAGGAGCAUCUUCUGCUGAUGAGCCUACACAAAGCUGCCCACUUAGGGGAAAUGGUCCAAAGGUAGGCAACAGAGUCAGACAGCCUUGCUCCAGUUAUUAGGAGACCCAUGUGAAGACCAAGCUGCAUAUCUGUUACAUAUAUGUGCACAGCCUAGGUUCUUCCCAUGCAUGUCUUUGGUUGGUUCAAUCUCUGUGAGCCCCUAUGGGCCCAGGGUAGUUGAUUCUGUAGGUUUUCUUGUGAUGUUCUUCAGUCCUUCCUCCCCUCUUUUACAAGAGUCCCUGAGUUCCACCUAUUGUUUGCUGUGGGUCUCGACAUCUGUAACUUCAUUCUUUAUGGCUUAAAAAAAAAAAAACCAAAAAACCAGUGUUGUUUUAUGCCACAGUUCUUUAUCUGUUCCUCUCUUUUUGGGAACCUAAAUUGAUUACACAUUGUAGCAAUUGUGAAUAGUGCCACAGUAAACAUUGUCCGUGAUGAAGAUUUAGAGUCCUGGAUGUAGUGUAGGUGGGUCAUACAGUAGAUCUGUUUUUAUUUUUAUCUUCUUUAUUUUUAUUUUUAAGGACUUACUGCUUUCCAUAGUGAAUGCCAGCUCACCUUGGUGUGAUUCCUCAGCUGUUGUUCACCUUAUUUUGUUUCCUGUUUAAGACAGAGUCACUCACUGCCUGGAACCUGUCAGCUGAGCUAGGGUGGCCAGUGGGCCCCAGGGAUUUGAAUCUUUGCCGCUUUUUGUCCUGGGCUUUUAAUUUUUAUUUAUUUAUUUUGCAUGUCAGUAUGUUUAUUUCUUAUUCUAAUUUUAAACUGUGGCUUUUGGGGUUCAAGCUCAAGUCCUGCUUGCAAAGCAGCUGCUUCGUGCUGUCUCCUUGCCCUCACUCCUGUUUAUUGAUUGACUUAAUUUUUGUUUAGUUUUUUUGAGUUCUUUGUAUAUUCUGUUAGUCCUCUGUCAAAUAUAUAGCCAGCCAAGAUUUAUUUUCUCCUGUUUUGUAUGUAAGGCCGUCUCUUCACUCACUUGUUUCCUUUGCUCUGCAGAAGCUUUUUGGUGUCAUGAGACCCCUUUGUGUAUUUCAUUAUUUCUUGAGCAAGUGAGGUCGUCCUGUUUAGGAACAUCUUGUUUGUGCUCUCAUCAGCCUCAGAGCUUCCUGUCUUCUGUGGGGAUCCUGGAGCGAGAACAGUCUCACUUAAUUCUACAUUUAGAUAGCCAUUGUUGAAGAUACUGUCUUUUCUCCGGUGUUUAUUUUUUAGCAUCUUUGUAAGAGAUCAGGUGAGUGUAAUUGCACAGGCUAUAUUGGGUCUUCUAUUCUAGUCCAUUAAUCAUGGCUGUCUUUGUGCAACUAGCUUGUUGAUUUGUUGUGGCUUUGGAAUAUACUUGAAGUGAGGUGUGGUGACACUUGUAGGAUAAUCACUUUUGCUCAGGAUUAAUGACUGUCUCGGUCUUUUGUAUUUCAGAGAUAGAGAUAGAGAGAUCGUUUUAUUUCUGUGAAUGGCGUCGUAGUUUUGAUAGGAGUUGCACUGGAUCUGUUACACUAAAUUUAUAAACCAUUUCUGGUAGUGUCUGGUUGUGUGGUAGUGUAUGGUUGGUAGUGUGUGGUAGUGUGUGGUGGUGUGUGGCAGUGUGUGGUAGUGUAUGGUAGUGUGUGGUAGUGUAUGGUUGGUAGUGUGUGGUAGUAUGUGGUAGUGUAUGAUAGUGUGUGGUAGUGUAUGGUUGGUAGUGUGUGGUAGUGUAUGGUAGUGUGUGGUAGUAUGGUAGUGUGUGGUAGAAUGUGGUAGUGUGUGGUAGUGUGUGGUAGUGUAUGAUCAUUUUCACAAUGUCUUCUAACCUGUGUGAGUGACCUUUUUAUCUUCUAAUGUAUCUUUUGAUUUCUUUUUUCAGUGUUUUAAGGUUUGGUUGUAGACUCUUUUGCUUCCUUAGGUUUGUCCCAAGGGAGUGUUUUGUUUUGUUAGAGGCAAUUGUUAAUGGUGUUUGCAGUUUUCUUACCAUGUUUAUUAUUUGUAUAUAAGAAGACUGCUGGUUAGUAAAAAUGAAAUCUAAGUAAGCCUUCAAGGUCCUGAAGAUUGAAAUUUGAACCACUUGUUCAUAUUGAAAUAACUGAGGCUGAAAUUUAAGUGAGGCAUUGUAUGUGGAGUUUAUCCCUGCAUCCGUAGGACAGUAUUACUCGGCUGUAAUUGAUGUGUUAUUCUUUAUUGUUUUUUUUUGUUCUCAGUGUUUUGAGGCUCUGUUUCACUCUUUGAACCCGGCUGGCUGGCUGCUCUCUGUGGUCUGCCUUAGCUUCCCCUGGCUAGACUCAGGGCCCAGCUACAGGGUUUUGUUUUAUUUUUUAAUUUUUUAAAAUGUUUGUUAUUUUAAUAUUUUCAUGCUUAGUAUUUUCAAUUAUAGAAAUACAAUAAAUAUGUAGUGUUUAAGCUGUUGCUAGUUUCUUACUUAAAAGGCACUUUUCUUGGUUCAGUAUAUGACAGUAGCUUAUAUAUGGUAAAAUUACAUUUCAUUUAACUUUUUAACUGAAGAGCCAACUAUAUAGAAUAAAAUGGUUUGGACAAAUGCAUCUUAACAAAUUUUAUUAUAUUUUCAGUACUUCGUGGUAACAAAAGCCUUUAUCUGUUUGAAACUGGUAGCUCUUUGUUCCCUCCUCCAGCUUCUAGUGUUUUCUUCCUCACAUUCCUCCUUUCUCCUCGCCCUGCCAUGUCUACAAAUUCAGACUGUCGAGCGUUGAAAGUGAAGGGAUUUUGUUUCUUUUUUAACAGUGAGUUUUAGUCUUUCUACCCAAGAUGAACAGUACUAUGAUGAGAUUUUUUUUAUUUCUCCUAUGACGGGGCUUACAGCAUUGACUAUUCCCAGAGUUGGUGGGGGAGGGGGAAGUUAACCUAACUACGUAACUUCCAAACACCCUCAAAGUAACAAGAUAAAACAGGAGGGUUAUGUUUUGUUUUGUUUUGAAAAAACAGGAUCAAUUAAAUUGUGUAUCCCUAGGAAAAUAGCAGUGGGAUGAUUUUAUAUUCAGUACCAUGAGAAUAUCAAGAUACAUAUCUUAGCACCCCUCUUUUAAAUUAAUCGGCACAGGUGAUCAGCAGUGAUAGCCUUGCUGGUUAAAAUGCUGUGAAGACUGCUCCACUACCUGGUAACAUUUAAAGACGUGUCCUUUAGCGUAGAGAACACUGCAUAAAAACAGAAGCAGCUGUUUCCAUUCUCCUCUCUCUCUGAUGUAUUUUGCCCUUGGAAGCAAAAGACACCGGAAACAGCAGCAGAAUCCUGCCUUUAUGAUCUUGAAGAGGCUGUCUGAGGAAGCUGCUGCUUUGCUCGGAAAGCCAGCUCUGAGUCUAAGUUCUGAGUAAUUCACUUGCCCUUUGCUAGCUAUCCUUGGUGACUUACUAGAGUGGACUGGCAGCGGGGAGAUCAGGCACAUGGCUGUCCUGUGUGUGAGUUUGCUGUACAUUCUCUCUUAUAGUACACUGCUUCCUGUUCCAUGCAAAUCAGUACCCCUUCCCCUUUCCUUUCUCAUCUUUGUUUCUGUUUUUCUCUUUUCUUUGAAAAACAGCAAAGAGAAAAACUCAAGUAUGCAAUUGAAUUUCAUGCACUUAGUUGGCAUUCAGGACUUCAGUUAUUUCUCCCAGCAGAACAGCCCUGUCAGCCACCAUUCUAGGGCAAGUUCAUCUCUCUCUCUCUCUCUCUCUCUCUCUCUCUCUCUCUCUCUCUCUCUCUGUUUGUGUGUGGGGUGUGACAUUUUAAGUAGACCGUCCUAGGGCAAGUUCAUCCGUGUGUGUGUUGUGACAUUUUAAGCAGGCCUACUUAUUCAACAGAAUACUGAAUUUAACAAAUGAAGUGGAAAAAAAAUAAUAUGGCUAUUUAUUUAUUUAUUUGGGUUUUUUGAGGCAGGGUUUCUCUGCGUAGCCCUGUCUGUUCUAGAACUCCAUCUGUAGAUCAGGCUGGCCUUGAACUUAGAUCCAUCUGCCUCUGCCUCCUAAGGAAAUAAUGGUCUUUUAAUGUGCUGGGUUUUCUUCCUUAUAGUAAAUCAUAUAGUUUAAUGUUUUGUCAAAAGUUUUUCAAAGAUUACUUUUUGUAGAGAUGUUUACAAACAUGUAACUGUUGUAUGUUUCUACAAUUACUAAUAAAAUCAUUUACCGUUUUGAGUGAGAUUGUUCUGUGUGUGCUACUACAAAUUUCAUGAGCCUAAAAAAGUAUUUCUAUCUCAUUUUCUUUCAUCCAUAUCAGAAGAGAUACAACUGUGUUUUGUUUUCAUCCUUCAACUGUGACCUCUUAUCCAUUAAAGAACAAUGUUCUUUUUGAACAUUAUUUUUGGGUACGUUAUGUCUCUUGCUUGCGAUGUAGUUUCAUUGGUUUUAAAUUAGUUCUCAAAAAGAGAAACACCUCCUUUGCAAAGGGACUUUGCUUAUUCCUAUCCGUUCAGUGAGCAGUGUGUAUUUUGGGAUAGUGGCCAUGCUGUCAAUGUGGGCAAGGUGCCCAUUCGCUGUGCUCACAUCUUUACAGUUGUGUGCUUGGUGUGGGAUCUCACACACUUGCCUUCAUAGGAAGGCAAUAAAAGUUUAGAUGUAAAUGAUAAGAAUGAUGCUUUGAUAUAGUAAGAUUUGGCCAUGGGCCAGCACUGUUCAUUUUGAGUGUGUAUCUGAUUUUUUACUUUCCCAGAAUGUUCUCAGAAUUGUACAGUAUGCAAGCUUUCUCAGACUGACUCAUUUCCCUAUACUAACAAAGUUAUGAUUGGUACUUAAUUCUUUUAGUGCUGAAUAAUCCAUUCUGUAUUCUAUUUCAAUUAUCAAUUAUCCACACACCUAUUGAGAUAUACCUUAAUUGCUUCCAAAUUUCACAUUUGUGAUGAAAGCUACUUAUAUACAUCCAAAUUUAGGAUUUUUUUGUAUAUUUUAAAUUAUUUGGUAAGAUACUUUGAAAGGACAUUUCUAUAUUGUAUUAUUUGUGUAUGUGUCUUGUUUUUGUGCGCAUCUGUGUGUGUGUGGGUGUACCUGUGUAUGGCUGCUGCUGUGGAUGGCAGAGAUCAACCUUGGGAGUCAUCAGGAGCUGCCCAUCUUAUGUUUUGCAUAGGAUCUCUGGGACCUGGGCUUGCAAAUACUUCCUGUCUCCACCUACUGGCUCUGUGAUUACAAACAAAAGCAGCCUUGCUUUUCCCCUGGGUAUUGGGGUUUAAUCUUGGGUCCUCAUUCUUACAUAGCAAGCAAUUUAUCUCCCCCAGUUGUUUUAAAGGCAUAUGGUUAGUUUUAUGAGAAAAUGUUAACCUGCCCUUCAGAGUGCUACAAGGAGUGAGUCAAGUUCUGGUUGCUCUACUGCUUCUUUAGCAUUUGAUAGUGUCAGUGUUUAGACUUUCUCCAUCUUAAUCAUUGUAGUUUCCUUUUUCUUUUCAUUUUCAGACAUGGUCUUAUUGUCAGGCUGGUUUUGAAUUUCUAGGCUUAGCCUAUGAAGUCACUGGGGACUAUAGGUGCACAUCACUGCACUGGGAUCAGCCUGAUCAGUACUAAGAUCUGUACUGGUUUUACUUUGCAACUACCUGGGAAAUACCUUUCACACAUUCAGAAUACUUAAAACAAGCCAUAGCGUUGGCCAUGAGAAAAUGUCAUACUACACACCAUGGGCUUGGGAAGCGUGAGAGCCUGAAGUAUAAUUUCUGUUGAGUACAUAUUGCUCCCACCACUGUACAACUGAAACAUAACUUGGAGCUGGAGAAAUGGCUCAGCAUUUAAGAGCAUUUAUUGCUCUUCCAUAGGACCUGGGUUUGAUUCCAGCACCCACACAGUAUUUUGUAACUCUUUGUAACUUGUUAUAGCUUAAACUUUUUUUUUUCUGUGGGCACCAGCCAUACAGAUGGUACACAGACCUGCAUACAGGCUAAACAUCCAUACACAUGAAAAUAAAUGUUAAAAAAGUAAAAACCCCCUUAAAUAUGGGUUUAUCUGUACUGAACAAUAAUAUAUAUAUAGUCAGAGGAAACACUUGCAGUUGAAAGACUUUUCUAGACAAAUGGGUAAAGGAAAGAAAGGGGCUGCUAAGAUGUUCGGUAAGUAAGGGCACCUGCAGCCAAUCCCGAUGACCUGAGUUUGAUCCCCAAGAAGCCACAUGUUGGAAACAACUGACUUUCCCAAGAUGCCUUCUGAUCUCCUUGUGCACCACAGCAAGCAUGUGCUCACCCCUAGCCAUAUUUUUUUUUAAAAGGAAGGUUUUUCCAACAGGAAGUAAUGCCAGAAGAAAGUUUAAACUACACAAAGAAGAAAGAAUGCUGAAACCAUUAAAAAUGUUUUUUGUCAUAGCACAUGUAUUAAUAAAAAUGCCUGAAAAUAUCACAAAGUGGGGAUAUUUGUAAUGUCCUUAUGUUAUUUAUGAGGUAUUAAUGAAGAUUGGCUGCAUACUGAAAGUUCUAGGGACUAAAUUUAAAAGUAGCUAAUUGGGAAUUUCAGGAAAUAAAUAGGAAGCAUUAGAAAAGUAGCCUAGUGAGGCAAAGAAAGUAAGGGUAAUAGAACAAGCAGCUGUGAGGCUAAGACUAAGUUCAGCGCUAUCAGUACUUAUGGAAAUGGCCUGAAUAUAAAAACCAAGUCAUUCUCCAACUUCAGAAUAGAGCAACUACAGAUUUAUAAUACUAGACAUUUUAGAGCUCUUCCUGAGUGGUUGAGAAAUAGAAAAGUUUAACCAAAGUUUAACCUGGUUUUAUGGACCAUCUUACCAAGUAGAAUACACAUUUGUUACAAGUUCACAUGGAACAUUGGUCAAGCUAGACCUUAUGAUGAGCCAAUAAAACAAGUCUCAGUAAACCUGAGAAGGUUCAAAUCUUAUAAAAAACUGCAAUCUUUAUGCAUAGCCUAAUGAUAUUUAACAACCAUUUAGAUAAAUUUCAAGUUUUUGAAAGUUAGUCAACACACUGACAAACCUCAACCAGCCCAAGAAAAAAUAGGGGCUAAAUGAAACUGAACAAAAUAGGGUUAUGCUAAAAUAGUUUCCAAAGAAAGAUUUCUGUAGGGAAUAGACAUUUCAAAUUCUCUGUAGUUUCCACUUCUGAAAUGGAAAAGAGAAGUGCUGAGACAAGAAAGCAAAUAUAAAUCCUGUGAGUGGAAUCAAUACUGACUUGUGUACCUGUUAGUGCCUGGUCAGUAGACCAAGUGCAAGCUAGUGAAGGAAUGAUGCUACACACGCUGCAGUGACAAAACCAACAAGGAAAUAGUGCAAGCAGUUAGUCCCAGUACGUUUGUUGAGGUAGAUAAAAUAGACAAGUCUUUAAAAGACAACUGUACAAAUCUCUCAAAAACACAGCUUAAUAGCUGGGGGUACAUGCUGAUGGUCACACAUUUCCAACAGUGGAAGUGUAAGAGAAAAAUUGAGGUCAAGGCCAGCCUGGGCUGCAUAGAAAGGCCCUGUCUAUCUUUUAAGUUUCCAUACAGUACCUUGUAUUUAAUGUUUCUGAUGAUGCUGUAAAGCAGAAAGUAAAUGCAUUCAGAUAAAAAGGAGAUUGCCUUUCUCUGUAAAAAUGCACAUUUGAAAAUACUGAGAGAUCUUGGGAAAAACACUACUGUCUUAGGGUUUCAGUUGCUAUGACCACAGCAACUACUAUAAAGAAAAACAUUUAAUCAGGGCUCCUUAUAGUUCAGAGAUUUAGUCCAUUAUUAUGGUAAGAAGCAUGGCAACACACAGGCAGACAUGGUGCUGGAAAAGGAGCUGAGAGGUUUACAUUUAGAUGGGCAGACAACAGAAGGAGACUCACAGUAGGCCCAGCUCGAGCAUAUGAGACUUUAAAGUCUGCCUUCAUAGUAACACACUUCUUCAGGAAGGCCAUUUAUUCAUUCAUUCAUUCAUUCGUUCAUUUAUUUAUUCAUUUAUUUAUUUUCCUCCCUGUUCAAUCCCGCCUCUGCGCCCCCCCCCCCCCAGUUCCACAUUGCAUACCUCCUCCCCUACCACCCUGGAGUUCCCUCCCCCAUGGUCUCCACAAGGAUGUUCCACCCCACCAGACCUUUAAACUUCUUGGGGCCUCCAUUCUCUUGAGGGUUAGCAAGGCCACACUUCUUAAUAGUGCCACUCCCUAUGCCCAAGCAUUCAUAGUCUAUGGUAACCAUUCUAUUCAAACAACCACAGCUACCGUGAACAGUUUAGCAAAUGUUCAACACAUAAUGUUCUACAAAAUGUGAGUAAAGUUAAUGGUGCACAGCUUGUGUACCGGAAACAUGGUUUUUAAUUCAGAGAUGGGAUACAUACACAUGAAUUCAUUCUCUGUAUCCUAGCAACUAGCAGAGUGAAUUAACUGGUUGGUUAGCUAGUUACAUGGUCAUGAGUCCAAACCCAGGGCUGUAUGAUUGCUAGACAAGAACUAUAUCAUCGAGCUAUACCACCAACCCUUUUAUUGAAAGUGGAAUUUGACAAGGUGAGUCCAUAGCAUUGCAAUCAAAUGGACAGUAUAGUUACAGCAAUAGUUGUUAAAAUGAUUGUAUUUUACCCGAUUCCAGACUAAUCAGUGUUUUGUAAAAAUAACAAUAUAGAAUAAUGGAUCAAACACAAUGAGUCCAGAAAUAGACUUUAUACUAUAUUUUCAGCAAAUGUGCCAAAGUUCACUGGGGGCAGCGACUAAUAGUUUCUGCAUCAAUUGAACAUUAAUGUGCAAAAACCCCCACAAAACAAAACAAAACAAAUACCAAACUUGGGUACACCUCCUAUUGAAUGUACUAAAAUUAAGUGUAGACCUGAACCUCAGACAUCUAAAAACUUGAGAGAAAAUGUUGUGUCGUUAUUGUUAGGUAAGAAUUUCUGCCACCUGAGCUCCAUCCCUAACCCUACCUCAUUGUUAAUGUUUGUGUUGUAUGUGAUGAGUUGAAAGUAUGAUCAGAUCUGCCAGAUCUUUUUUUUUUUUUAAACUGCUUUCUUGCAGGAAGGUGAAUUGGUGUGAAGGAGGUAGACAAAAGGAUGGCUAUGUUUGUUGUGUUUUAGAAGAAUUUGUACAAAAUGCCUUGAGGUAAAAACAAACUUUGUGUUACAUAUAAAAGAUGGGAUUUUUUAAAAUCCAAUGCCUGGUAAGUAUAAUGUGGCCAUAUGAAAAUGAGUACAGAUAUGGCCUGACACUAGUAGACAUGAAGUUUGGGCACAUUGAGGGCUCUUUAUUUUUAUUAAAUAUUUGAGGAAGUAAAUAGUGGGCUUUCUGGAUAAAAGAAUCAUGUCUUAUGAAGGCAUCAAGAUGGUGGUAAAUUUUUAACUUGAAAUAAAUUUGUUUUUAUGACAUUUGGUGUAAAAAGUGUUUGAUUAAUAAGACCAAGAAAGUGUGAUACCUUUAAAACCUGUUUGUAACAUUAUUGAAGACUUGUUGUAGGAAGUUGAAAAAACUUCCACAGAGAAGUGAAUAAAAUUGACACAUUCAUACAGUAUAAUGCACACACAUAAAGGUUUUGUAUAUUAAGGAGAGUAUGAACAGCAUACUAAGUCAGAGCAGAGCAACAUGGAAUGUGUGGUUCGUUUUGUACUUUAGAGGUUCACUUACAUACACACAGUGAGAGGACAGGUAGAGUAUACCAGAGCUAACAAGACAGGUGAGGUUAUGAAUGUUUUAAACAGUUUUUACUUGUAUUUUCUACAUAAAAAUUAUUAAGACAAAAUAAAAUUUAUUUUUAAAGACUGUGACUGGGGGGUGGCGGCCAAUGCCUUUAAUCCUGGGAUUCGGGACAGAUUCAGGUGGAUCUCUGUAAGUUCAAGGCCAGCCUGGUCUACAGAGCAAGUUCCAGAACAGAGAAGGAUAUAUAUUGAAACCCUCUCUCCAACUACCAGCCUCCCCCGCCCAAGACAUGCAUUCUAUACUAGCAGUUUAUAAAAAAGAUGGCAGGAAAAUGUUGAAACACAUUCUUUGUAUUUUCACCACUGGACUUAAGGUUAUAGGGGCAAAGUGUUGAUUUACAGGACAGACUAGACUGUAAGAAAAUGGGUGAGUUAAUGAAGUUUGAGUCUGAGAUGAUUAUACCAAAAAAUAUGGGGUAGAGACUUGACAAGCAUCCAGGGUUCCUCUUCCAUUUCUCACUUCACGCCAGUGACGUCAAGAGUAACCCCAGGUAGUUACACAUGUCUCACAGCUUUCACACAGCUGCCUCUGGGUGUGUAAACUCUCCUGGCUGGAAGCGAUGCCUGGGAGUGUGAACAUAAUUAACAUCUCUCCUUGGCACUUUCCUUGGGUAAGACCAGUGAUUGGGCAAGUUAGAGAAAAGAAAGGUUAUCUAAAGGCCGGCAUGCAUAGAGCAUCUUGGCAACCACAUUGCUUUCUUGUGUAAUAGCAGAUGUGUCUUCAUAUCUAAUCUGUGCUCUUAUCAAUUCUACUUCUGAUUUCAAGGUUUUUUUUUUUUUUUGACUAAAAAGUCAAAAAAAAAAAAAAAGUCCUGGCAUUUCUGUACUUGAAGAAUUUAUGAAUUUGUUUUCUACACUGCUUGUUGGGCAUGUAACAAAAUGUAACAAAAUUUCUUGUCCCCAAAAUGUCAGAAUGUGAGUUCACUGCUUAUCCAGGAGAAAUUAAGCACAUUUUUUCACUAUGGGGUUCAAAUAAUAUGACUUUAAAAAUUAAGCUAUUUUAUUUUCUCUGUGUACCUAAAGCUUAGAUUCCUUAGGAUGUAUGUCCAUCUUUAGGCAAGCCCUGUCCCACUUUUUCCUCCACAUCUAAAUCUUUAAAAGUCAUUAUGGAGGGGUUGGGGAUUUAGCUCAGGGUAGCAAGGCCCUGGGUUCGGUCCCCAGCUCCGAAAAAAAAGAAAAAAGAAAAAAAAGUCAUUAUGGAAUAUCUUUGUCCUAAGUUUUUCUCACAUAAGUCACAUAAAUAAUUUGGCCACUACUUCUGCAGUGUUCAAGGACAUAGCAAACUCUUAGAUAUAUGGCUUGGUCUAAAAAAAAUAGCCCCCACCCCCACCCCUCUCUCCUUUUCUUUUCCUCAUCCUUCCCUCCUCCUUUUCCAUUUUUGAGACAGGAUCUCUCUGUGAAGCCCUGGCUGUCCUGGAACUCACCAUAUAGACCAGGCUGGCCUCAAACUCACAAAGAUUCACUUGCCUCUGCCUCCUGAGUACUGGAAUUUUAGGCAAAUCUUUUAAAUGAUACCACAAAGUGGCAAAACCUUCCAUUUUAAGGGUAGUUAUGUACCUAGUUUUCCUAAAUAUUUCUGUUUUUUUGAUAAUAUUUCUCAAAUAUUUACUUGAAUUUUAUUUAUUUCAAAAAUCCAGAAUGUGACACAGGAUCACUUUUAGAAUUCCAUUUGGUGCUUAUGAUGGCUGUUUCUAAAUUCAAAAACUUCAGGCAUUGGAUUGGACUGUUUUGAAACACUAACUUUUAACAAACUUUGUGAAUUUGCCCAUUAAAGUUUGAAAACCAUAGAAGUUGCAAAAUGUAUGCAACCAGGAGUAGGGUGACAUGUCUAAAUGGGUCACAGACAACUGUGUCUACUUCCUUGUAACAGACUCUAAGUUAAUGAUGUAAUGUUUCUUUUUAAAAGACACUAUUUUAAAAUUGUGUGUGUGUGUGUGUGUGUGUGUGUGUGUGGUGUAUAUGUGUGGUCUAUGUAUGGUGUGUGCUGUGUGUGAGUCUUGGGAUGUGCACAUGUGUGCAGUUGCCUUCAUUGAGUAGAAGGUACAGAAUGCUGGGGAGCUGGAGUUACAGGUGGUUGUGGCUCUACUGCUGUGGGUGCUGGGAAUCCAGCUCCAGUCUUCUUUCUGCAAGACCAAUGUGUACUCUUAACUGCUGAGCCAUCUUUCUGUAUGUUAUAAGUCCUCUGUAACAUUGUACUGGCUGGUUUUGUGUGUCAACUUGACACAAGUUGAAGUUAUCACAGAGAAAGGAGUCUCAAUUGAGGAAAUGCCUCCAUGAGACCCAGCUGUAAGGCAUGUUCUCAACUAGUGAUCAAGGGGGAGGACCCAGCCCAUGCUGUCCCUGGGCUGGUAGUCUUAGGUUCUAUAAGAGAGCAGGCUGAGCAAGCCAGGGGAAGCAAGCCAGUAAGAAACAUCUCUCCAUAGCCUCUAUAUCAGCUCCUUCUUCCUGACCUGCUUGAGUUCUAGUUCUGACUUCUUUUGGUGAUGAACAGCAAGGUGGAAGUGUAAGCUGAAUAAAUCCUUUCCUCCCCAAUUUGCUUCUUGGUAUAAUGUUUGUGCAGGAAUAGAAACCUUGACUAAGACAAACAUACUUCAAAUAUGGAUUCAUCCAACUUUUUCAGACACAGUAUAGUAUUUAAGAUCAGCUCGGAAUGUUCUUUACUUUCCAUAAAAGUCCAUAUAUUAAACAAACAACAUUUGUCACAUUUUAAUUGGAGUUAAUGUAUUACACAUUUUCUGGAGAAGGGGUCACAAGAUGCUCUUUAUUGAGGUUAUGGUAGACUUUUGCAUAGACCCUGAGGCAAUUGUUCUCAACCUUCCUAAUGCUGUGACCCUUUAAUACAGUUCAUGUCGUGGUGACUUCCAACCCACAACAUGUUGCUAUUUCAUAACUGUAAUUUUGCUACUGUCAUGCAUUGUAAUGUAAAUAGUUUUUGAAGAUACAGGUUGAGAACCAUAUGCUAAGGGGCUUUCCUGCCCGAGUUUCAUUAAAUACGGAUGUUGUGCUAAGCCUGUGGGUAUUAAGUGGUCAGUUUUGAGUUGUAGUCCAGUCCUGGUGGUCCCUUGGACGUGCUUCUCCAAGCCAAGGAAAGUGGAGAAGGCUUCUUUGAGGAUUUGGGAUUCAUAGAUGUAAAAACUGUUGGUUUAGAGUCCAAUAUUAAUGUAAAACAUUACUUGGAUGGGCUGCUUCCUCAGAAUCUUUCAUAGUAUGUAAGCUUAUUUUGAAAAAAGAUAAUGUGUGUACUCUCUGUGGAAUUUGCUUAUGCCAAAUGUUUGGUGAGUGUUGCCUUCUCCUGUUUCCUUUGAGGACUAUCGCAUCUUCCUUUAGUAUGAGUAAUAAGAGUCUUAAAGAGUUUAAUCAGAUUUUGGUGGGGAAGAAACUAGAGCUGAAAUCCAGAUCUACCUGCCUUUCAGGAUGAGCGCACUUCUUUUAAAGAAUCGAGUGUAGCCUUGUUCUUAGCGUAGUUUGUUUUCAGACUUCAAGGUUGCUUAUAAGACAAGUAAAUACCAAAGAUCCGAGGCAUGUAUCAUUAAUAUUGUGUUGUAUAGUACAAACUAGACGUGGAGAGUAAGAACUUGAACUUGGGUAGGUUCAUUUUAAGUUUGAGAAGAAGAAUCUUCCCGAGGAAGUUGAGAGUAUCUUAGCAACCUGGUCACAUUAAGAGCAUGGUGUGGCUGUGAACUUGUGCUCUCCCCUAUAGAGUGAUGAUGUCUUAACUAGGAAGUGUGCUGUGGAGAAACUGGAAAUGGGUGCUACUUGAAAGAGCUCUUGGGUGGAGUCGGUAGUGUAGCAGGGAGACACCUUCAAGCCCUGGACAAGGGUUUGUUUUCUCACGGAGAAGUUAAUUAGCUCACUUGGGGAUUGAGAACACAGCAGCAGUCUUUUUAGCACUAGUGAGUAAACAACUGAACUUAAGCACUCAUAUAGCCUUAGUAGAGUCCAAGGGCAAUAACAUAAAAGUACUGAUUCUCAGUCUGUCCCAGUGUAUUCCAUACAAGAUUGAGAACCCACUGUAUACUAAGAUUUUGUCCUAAGUUCUACUUUUCAGGAGCAUUCAGAAAUGGAAACAAAACACUGGGGAUGAUUAGCCUACCCUUCCAAAAACUGCCUUCUGACAUGAACUGCUUACAAAUGUUCCCACCACCUUCCCAGGGCCAUGAGAGAGAAUGAGAAGGCAGACAGCCUGGCAGUCUUAAGCCUGGAAUUUGUCACAGAACGGGAGGGGAGGAUGACUCAAAGAUACAUGCCUCAGAUCUUUGAUAUUUACCUGAAGCCUUGUAAGCAACCUUGAAGUCUAUACAAACAAAUUCAUCUAUCCAACAACGAGGCUACACUCGAUUCUUUUAAAAGUAAGGAGUGAGUGCUCAGCUCAAAAAUCAGGUAGAUCUGGCUUUCAGUUCUAGUCCCCCCUCCCCAUCUGAUUAAACUCUUUUUUUUUUCUUCCAUCUUUAUUAACUUGAGUAUUUCUUAUUUACAUUUCAAUUGCUAUUCCCUUUCCCGGUUUCCAGGACAACAUCCCCCUAGCCCCUCCCCUUCCUUAUGGGUGUUCCCCUCCCAACCCUCCCCCCUUGUCCCCCUCCCCCCAACAGUCUAGUUCACUGGGGGUUCAGUCUUAGCAGGACCCAGGGCUUCCCCUUCCACUGGUGCUCUUACUAGGAUAUUCAUUGCUACCUAUGGGGACAGAGUCCAGGGUCAGUCCAUGUAUAGUCUUUAGGUAGUGGCUUAGUCCCUGGAAGCUCUGGUUGGUUGACAUUGUUGUUCAUAUGGGGUCUCGAGCCCCUUCAAGCUCUUCCAGUUCUUUCUCUGAUUCCUUCAACGGGGGACCUAUUCUCAGUUCAGUGGUUUGCUGCUGGCAUUCACCUCUGUAUUUGCUGUAUUUUGACUGUGUCUCUCAGGAGAGAUCUACGUCCUGUUCCUGUCAGCCUGCACUUCUUUGCUUCAUCCAUCUUAUCUAGUUUGGUGGCUGUAUAUGUAUGGGCCACAUGUGGGGCAGGCUCUGAAUGGGUGUUCCUUCUGCCUCUGUUCUAAACUUUGCCUCCCUAUUCCCUCCCAAGUGUAUUCUUGUUCCCCUUUUAAAGAAGGAGUGAAACAUUCCCAUUAUGGUCAUCUUUCUUCAGUUUCAUGUGUUCUAUGCAUCUAGGGUAAUUUGAGCAUUUGGGCUAAUAGCCACUUAUCAAUGAGUGCAUACCAUGUGUGUUUUUCUGUGAUUGGGUUAGCUCACUCAGGAUGAUAUUUUCCAGUUCCAUCCAUUUACCGAUGGAUUUCAUAAAGUCAUUGUUUUUGAUAGCUGAGUAAUAUUCCAUUGUGUAGAUGUACCACAUUUUCUGUAUCCAUUCCUCUGUUGAAGGGCAUCUGGGUUCUUUCCAGCUUCUGGCUAUUAUAAAUAAGGCUAAUGAACAUAGUGGAGCACGUGUCUUUUUUAUAUGUUGGGGCAUCUUUUGGGUAUAUGCCCAAGAGAGGUAUAGCUGGAUCCUCAGGCAGUUCAAUGUCCAAUUUUCUGAGGAACCUCCAGACUGAUUUCCAGAAUGGUUGUACCAGUCUGCAAUCCCACCAACAAUGGAGGAGUGUUCCUCUUUCUCCACAUCCUGUCCAGCAUCUGCUGUCACCUGAGUUUUUGAUCUUAGCCAUUCUCACUGGUGUGAGGUGAAAUCUCAGGGUUGUUUUGAUUUGCAUUUCCCUUAUGACUAAAGAUGUUGAACAUUUCUUUAGGUGUUUCUCAGCCAUUCGGCAUUCCUCAGCUGUGAAUUCUUUGUUUAGCUCUGACCCCAUUUUUUAAUAGGGUUAUUUGUCUCCCUGCAGUCUAACUUCAUGAGUUCAUUGUAUAUUUUAGAUAUAAGCCCUCUAUCAGUUGUAGGAUUGGUAAAGAUCUUUUUCUAAUCUGUUGGUUGUCAUUUUGUCUUAGCCACAGUGUCCUUUGCCUUACAGCUGAUUAAACUCUUUAAGACUCCUAUUAUUUAUAAUAAAGGAAGAGAUGAUAAAAUGAUGUUCAUAGUUGAAAAUUCAAUGAUCCAUUUAAAGUGCCAUCACAAUACUUAGUCUGCACACUCUCCACCAAUGUUUCCUAUUAUUAAACUGUACCCCAAGGGCCUUUGAAGAAAGAGAGGGGUGGGGAGAGCAUGGAAGGUUAGAAGAGGAAGACGAAAGCAAAUCAGUCAUUACACUAGGUGUCAGCGUUGUGCUUCAGAUAGCGUGCUCAGUGCCUAUUCUGAAUUUACUUAUUCCUUCAGAACUGAAGGGUACGUAAGCAGAUCUGGGAGAAUCAGAAACCUAAAAGUGCAAAAGGGGUGCCCAGCAAUUUACUGGCUUAGCCACUGAGCACCAGUGACGUUCAAACUAGCUGUCUGUCGGAGACGAGCCACCUGCGGCAGUUGGCCUCUGCUGUCUGGAGAAUCUCAGCAUCUCAGAAGUCAUGCCCAGGCUUGGCUUUGUGUAGGGGGCCAGAAUUUUUCUGACUUUAGGUCCUGAGUCAGCAUCAUUUAUCAGGAAGAACUGUUUGAACACAUCUUGACUACUUACCAAAUAGGUGAUAGUGUUUAUCUUCUCAGAAUGUCAGUUGAAAAAAAGAUACAUAUUUGGGGAAAAAAAAAAGCUUACUGAAAAAAAAUAUCCCAUGCAUUUGGUAAACAUUAAGAAGAAAAAAGUAGGGAGGUGGCUCAGCGGUUAAAACGUGAUCGCUUCUCAAGCAAGACAGUGAGUUUAAGUGUGCAGCACAUAAGUGCCAAGCAGGCAUGGCAUCUUACCUCUAAUUUAACCCUUGGGAGGCAGAGACCAGAGACCCCCUUUUUUUUCACCCCUAGCAAAUUAGCUAUCUAGACCAGCUGUAUUUGUGGCUCUGGGCUUUAUCAAGUUCUUUUGUGGGUUGGCCUAAGAAGUUAAGUUUUUUAAAUCUACUCCCUGAGACUAGCAGUGGUUGCUUUAGAAGCAUGUGCCAAGACUAGCAGAAUGUAGUCUUUUGAGGUUGCAUUUAUGAGAAACUCUUGGGUAAGGACAAGGCCUUUAUAAUCAAGACUAACUCCUCCCACUUAUUUCCUCAUUUAAAUGGUUCUCUUGAAGGAUUUUGUUGAGCUGUCCUUAACCUUUCCUGCUGAGAUAAGUCCUGGCAGCAGGAGGAGCUGGGCACAAGUUCAAGGGCUUCAGUCUCAGCAUCAACUCUCUUCUCUCAUCCAGAGAUCUCAAAACUUCGGUGGAACUGAAAAAUACCAGUUCCCAAAAGGCAGGACCUCCUUAGAUCAUCUAAUUACUUGGCAUAAGACUGGAAUCAAUAAAUAGCUGGAAUAAAUCAAGAGGCAAGGCUUAAAGUUGUUAAGUCACCUAAGAGAAAAUGAUGCUGUUCAGAACUUUCACCCUGUAAGUCUUUUAAAGAGAAAUCAUGAUAGAAAUGGUUUGACAGCAAAAAAAUUAGAUUGGAAUGGGGUCUGGCUCUUUAAACAUAUUAAUAAGAUAGGUUCUCACUCUGGAGCCCAAGCUGACCUCAAACUCAUGACCCUCCUUCCCAGUCCUCUGAGUGCUGGUAUAAUGCCCAGACUGGAUUUUCAUGUCUUAGUCAAUGAUUCUAUGCUGGGAAGUAAAUAGGAAAAAAUGCAGGUAAUUUCUUCUUGAUCUCUUAAGUUGGAAUUCUUUAUUUGGCUUUGUGAAAAUAUGUACCUCCACAUAAAUAUUGUUUAAAAGUACUACUUGAUUUUUGUAGCAUUCCACAAAGAGCUUUUACAUGGUCAUUUGAUUUUAUGUAAUCAUACCCACUAGACAGGAAGGUAUGUAUGGUUAUUCAUUAAUUCACUUUUGUUUGUUUGUUUGUUUGUUUUUUCGGAGCUGAGGACUGAACCCAGGGCCUUGCGCUUGCUAGGCAAGCACUCUACCACUGAGCUAAAUCCCCAACCCCUCAUUAAUUCACUUUUUUCACCAGGGUUUUUUUUUUUGAGACAGGGUUUCUCUGUGUUUUUUUUUUUUUUUUUUUUUGUGAGAACAGGGUUCCCCUUGUUCUCCUGGGGAUUAGAACAGGCUCUGUAGACCAGGCUGGCCUCAAACUCAGAGAUCAACUUGCCUCUGCCUCUGAGUGCUGGGAUUAAAGGUGUGCCCCACUAUGCCCAGCUCAACAAAUUUUGUGAUGCCUUAUUCUAAGACAACACAGAGAAUACAGGUCGGACAAACAAAUGGAAGAGGGAGGGAGAAACAGAGAGAGAGAGAGAGAGAGAGAGAGAGAGAGAGAGAGAGAGAGAGAGAGAGAGAGAGACAGACAGACAGAGGGAGAGACAGAGAGAGAGAGACAGAGAAACAGACUGAUUUUCAUGGUGCUUAUGGGGAGAACAGAAUGUGAAUAAAUAAAUAUAGAUACAUGUCAAUUCCAUUUAGAAAAGCAGAUGAAGGAGGUAGGGAAUAUGGAGAAUGUGUGUGAAUGGUAUUUUAUACAGAGGAAUUGGGGACAAUGCUCUGGGCAGAUGGUAUUUGAGCACAGAAGACUGUUUCAGGCAGAAGAAGCUACAGAGAUCUGGAGAAGAGAACACUGCUUGGUGUGUUCAUGGACAGGAACAGGAAGCAUGCAGUGCAGCUGUAGUGGGAGGGGCAGGAAUGGGCAAAGGCAAAGAGAGGAGAGAUGGCCAAACAGACAUGACUGACACGUACUAAGCUGUUCACUCUCAUUCAGAUUGUAGCAGAAUUGGAUUACAUACUAAUUCAUGUCCCCUGCUCCAAAUUCAUUUCUACAUGUGAUAAUGGCCACUCUAUAAGUGCUUACUGGGUGAAUGCAGUGCCUCUGGGUAACUGAAGAGGGAAAUAAAACAGACAAUUUUAAUUUGCAUGAUCUCUUGAUUAGUUUCUGCUCUGUUGCAACAAACUACCUUGACAGAAGCCAACAGAGGAAGGCAGGGCUUAUGUCUCCUCAUAGUUUGGAGUACUAUCAUGGUAGAGGACUCAAGGCAGCAAGAACUUAAAUGGUUGCUGGUGUCACAGCUACAAUUAGGAAGCAGAGAGCGGGACAUCGAGGGGAAAGCACUUGCUGCACAGGACUGAAUAUCUGAGUUUGCUCCCUGGAAACCAUGGCUGGCAGAGAGAUUAGGCUCCUGACAAUUGUCCUCUGAGCCCCACAUAUGUGCAAUAGCAGGCAUUCUCCUGCAUUCACACACAUAUCACACACAGAGGUACACAUAAAACAAUAUUACGAAAAUAAUAAACAAAGGAAACAGUGACUAAUGCUUGUGUUCCUCUACCUUCUCCCUUUUUAUACAGUCCAGGAUCUUAGUCCAGACAAUGGUACCACCCACAGCAGGAGGGUCUGUCCACCUCUAUCAACCCAAUCAAGAGAAUCCCCCACAAGACAGACACUCACUUUACCUAGAUAAUGCCUCACUCCUGAAUUUAGGUCAACAGUACUCAACCUUCCUAAACUGUGACCCUUUAAUACAGUUCCUCAUGUUGUAGUGACCUCCAACCUGAAAGUUAUUUUGUUGUUACGUUGUAACUAUAAUUUUGCUACUGUUAUGAAUAUUGAGAGUAACUAUUUGAUAUGCAGGAAAGCACCAGAGCAGAGUACUUCUCACUUGUAGUUCAGAAUUUCCCUUUUGAAGAUUUCACUCAGCUCAUCUUGACCUUUACUACUAAGGUACCAGGUUCUGCCAGCAGAAGAAAACUGCGAUUGAGUCUUAAAAUGACAUAGGAGUUCCAAGGUUUUUUUCCUAUUAACUAUGUAUGCAAUGUGCACAUAUAACCAUAAAUAUAUGCAAACAUGUGCAUAUGUAUGAGUAUUUUAAUAGUAAUAAUGGUUAGAUACCUAGGAACCCACUUUUCCUUGGAAAUGUUGCCUAUUGCUGAGCAGGCUUGGAGUGAGCUAUUCCUUUCUAUACUUUUACAAGACUUAGCUCUAUAUAAUCAGCAAUUGCCGAAGUUUAUCAACUACUUUGUUUUGGACAUUGUCAUAUAGUAACCAGCAGUAUGGCUUAAAUACUGAGUAGGGUAGUCAAAAGAACAGACUCUCGACUCAGACACUGAAGCUAUGAUACACUGCUCACAUUACCUGUGUAAUUAUAGGUAAAUCUUAAGUAUAGUCUCAUCUGUAGAUUGGAUUUGAUAAUAGCCACAAUGUAAUAGAAUUGUAAAUCUUAGUAAAUGAGUUAAGAUAUGUGUGAAGUAUUUAGAACAACAUUGAUACCAAGUAAAAACUAAAAACAGACAAUACAGAAUUUUAUUAACAUGACAGAUAUGCUAUAUUCAUUUCUUUCUUUCUUUUAAAAAUGUUUAUUUAUAUAUACAAGUACACUGUAUCUGUCUUCAGACACACCAGAAGAGGGCAUCAGAUUCCAUUAUGGAUGGUUGUGAGCUACCGUGUGGUUGCUAGGAAUUGAACUCAGGACCUCUGGAAGAGCAGACAGUGCUUUUAACCUCAGAGUCAUUUCUCCAGCCCCUGUAUUUAAUUUCUUAUAGGUUGGAUGAUUUAAAAAUAGUUUGGGUAUAUUCUAAUUAAUUUAGUUGUUCAACUAAGAUGGCUUGAGGCUCAAGUGACUGAAUUGCACGGAUGUAUACUUGCUAUUUCCAUGAAAGGGGGAGUUUUCCAUCUUUUGUUUUUCCCCUGAGUGAUAGAUUGGAUAACACUUUUCCCAUGAGGCAGAAGUAGAAGAUUUCCUCCUUUUACUUAAUGAUCAGCCUACAUCUGUAUUUGAUGCUAAUUUCCUUCUUUUCUGAAAGGAAAGCCAAAAGAGCAAAUCUGGCCUAGGGAGUUUAGUGGUGCUUUUCAGUCAUUUAAAAGUGAGAAGCUGUAAUGGGUACAUGCAGUCAAGACUUUAAACUGUACUAGAAUAGAGAAUAAUAGAUUCCGUUAUACCAAGGGUUGGUAUUUUAUGAAGCACUGCACCAUAUAUUAUAUAUAUAUUACAUAUAUAUAUGUGUAAAUAUAUUACUAUGCAUUAGGGACAGCAUAUGAAGUGACUAAGGGCUAGGAUCCUGAGAUACGUGGCCUUUAUUCAAGUUCUGGUUUGUUUACUUGUCUUUGAACAAGUCAUUAUACUCCUAUACUAAUCUGUAAAAUAGACAUAAUAAAAUUAUCUUUUCCUGGGACUUUUGUAAGAAUUAGGUGAGCUAACAUGUACAUAACUUCCAGCUUACAAUUCUGCUUACUAUAUACAUAUUAUAAAGUACCAUAUCAUAAAAUGUGUUUAUUACUACGAGUCAUUUUGAAACACAGAAUGAACACUAGCCAGUACACUGUCAGUCUCUGUGUGACCUGGAGUGUUCCACUUGCUCUCUUUCUUCAUUCUCACUGUCUUUCUCUGAAAGGUGGGUGGGUCCUACAUCCCUCUAAAUGUGUCCACUGUUUAAUUCUGGGUUUUUAUUAGCCUUUCUGGUGCUCUUUGCUUUCUUUCUGGAGCAAAUGAAACAUUACUCAUGGAUGCAUGCCCAAAUGGCCCCUUUGGCCCCUUUCUUUGAGGACUGCUUAAUUACCCUCAGAAGUGAGGCAGAGCUUUAGUGAGGGACAGAUAUGCCUUGUACCUCGCCUGAAAGGCCCAUCAUUGGUGCCAUUUCUUCCCAAGUUGAUGUGUAGAGUCAAUGUAGUCUCAACAGAAAGCCCAGUUGAUGUGGUUUCUUUUUUAGGUUGAGAUAGCAUCUCCUGUAGUCUGGACUGCCUCACACUCACCGUGCAACUGAGGAUGGCCCUAAACUUCCUCAUGGUUCUCCUACCUCUAUUUCCUGAGUGCUACAGCCAGCUGUGAGCCACCAUACUUGGCUCUCAAUGACAUUUUUUUUUCAUUUUUAUUAACUUGGGUAUUUCCUAUUUACAUUUCGAUUGUUAUUCUCUUUCCCCAAAUCCGGGCCAACAUCCCUCUAGCCCCUCCCCCUCCCCUUCUCUAUGGGUGCUCCUCCCCAUCCUCCCCCCAUUACCACCCUCCCCCAACAAUCAUGUUCACUGGGGGUUCAGUCAUGGCAGGACCAAGGGCUUCCCCUUCCACUGGUGCUCUUACUAGGAUAUUCAUUGCUACCUAUGAAGUUGGAGCCCAAGAUCAGUCCAUGUAUAGUCUUUGGGUAGUGGCUUAGUCCCUGGAAGCUCUGGUUGCUUGGCAUUGUUGUUCAUAUGGGGUCUCGAGCCCCUUCAAGCUCUUCCAGUCCUUUCUGUGAUUCCUUCAACGGAGGUCCCGUUCUCAGUUCAGUGGUUUGCUGCUGGCAUUCGCCUAUGUAUUUACUGUAUUCUGGCUGUGUCUCUCAGGAGAGAUCUACAUCUGGUUCCUGUCAGCCUGCACUUCUUUGCUUCAUCCAUCUUAUCUAGUUUGGUGGCUGUAUAUGUAUGGGCCACAUGUGGGGCAGGCUCUGAAUGGGUGUUCCUUCUGCCUCUGUUCUAAACUUUUCCUCCCUAUUCCCUCCCAAGGGUAUUCUUGUUCCCCUUUUAAAGAAGAAAUGAAGCAUUCACAUUUUGGUCAUCCUUCUUGAGUUUCAUGUGUUCUGUGCAUCUAGGGUAAUUUGAGCAUUUGAGCUAAUAUCCACUGAUCAAUGAGUGCAUACCAUGUGUGUUUUUCUGUGAUUGGGUUAGCUCACUCAGGAUGAUAUUUUCCAGUUCCAUCCAUUUGCCGAUGAAUUUCAUAAAGUCAUUGUUUUUGAUAGCUGAGUAAUAUUCCAUUGUGUAGAUGUACCACAUUUUCUGUAUCCAUUCCUCUGUUGAAGGGCAUCUGGGUUCUUUCCAACUUCUGGCUAUUAUAAAUAAGGCUGCUAUGAACAUAGUGGAGCACGUGUCUUUGUUAUAUGUUGCGACAUCUUUUGGGUAUAUGCCCAAGAGAGGUAUAGCUGGGUCUUCAGGUAGUUCAAUGUCCAAUUUUCUGAGGAACCUCCAGACUGAUUUCCAGAAUGGUUGUACCAGUCUGCAAUCCCACCAACAAUGGAGGAGUGUUCCUCUUUCACCACAUCCUCACCAGCAUCUGCUGUCAUCUGAAUUUUUGAUCUUAGCCACUCUCACUGGUGUGAGGUGGAAUCUCAGGGUUGUUUUGUUCUGUAUUUCCCUUAUGACUAAAGAUGUUGAACAUUUCUUUAGGUGCUUCUCAGCUAUUCGGCAUUCCUCAGCUGUGAGUUCUUUAGCUCUGAACCCCAUUUUUUUUUUUUUGGUUCUUUUUUUUUGGAGCUGCGGACCGAACCCAGGGCCUUGCGCUUCCUAGGCAAGCGCUCUGCCACUGAGCCAAAUCCCCAACCCCCUGAACCCCAUUUUUUUUUGGUUCUUUUUUUCGGAGCUGGGGACCGAACCCAGGGCCUUGCGCUUCCUAGGUAAGCGCUCUACCACUGAGCUAAAUCCCCAGCCCCCUGAACCCCAUUUUUAAUAGGGUUAUUUGUCUCCCUGCAGUCUAACUUCUUGGGUUCUUUGUAUAUUUUGGAUAUAAGCCCUUUAUCAGUUGUAGGAUUGGUAAAGAUCUUUUCCCAAUCUGUUGGUUGCCAUUUUGUCCUAACAACAGUGUCCUUUGCCUUACAGAAGCUUUGCAGUUUUAUGAGAUCCCAUUUGUCGAUUCUUGAUCUUAGAGCAUAAGGCAUUGGUGUUUUGUUCAGGAAAUUUUCUCCAGUGCCCAUGUGUUCCAGAUGCUUCCCCAUUUUUUCUUCUAUUAGUUUGAGUGUAUCUGGUUUGAUGUGAAGGUCCUUGAUCCACUUGGACUUAAGCUUUGUACAUGGUGAUAAGCAUGGAUCGAUCUGCAUUCUUCUACAUGCUGACCACCAGCUGAACCAGCACCAUUUGCUGAAAAUGCUAUCUUUUUUCCAUUGGAUAGUUUUGUCCUUUGUCAAAAAUCAAGUGACUAUAGGUGUGUGGGUUCAUUUCUGGGUCUUCAAUUCUUUCCACUGGUCUAUCUGUCUGUCUCUGUACCAAUACCAUGCCGUUUUUAUCACUAUUGCUCUGUAAUACUUCUUGAGUUCAGGGAAAGUGAUUCCCCCGGAAGUCCUUUUAUUGUUGAGGAUAGUUUUAGCUAUCCUGGGUUUUUUGUUAUUCCAGAUGAAUUUGCAAAUUGUUCUGUCUAACUCUCUGAAGAAUUGGAUUGGUAUUUUGAUGGGAAUUACAUUGAAUCUGUAGAUCGCUUUUGUUAAAAUGGCCAUUUUGAUUAUAUCAACCCUGCCAAUCCAUGAGCACGGGAGAUCUUUCCAUCUUCUGAGAUCUUCUUCAAUUUCUUUCUUCAGAGGCUUGAAGUUCUUAUUAUACAGAGUUUUCACUUGCUUGGUUAAAGUCACACCGAGGUAUUUUAUAUUAUUUGGGACUAUUAUGAAGGAUGUCAUUCCCUAAUUUCUUUCUUGAUUUGUUUCUCUUUUGUGUAGAGGGAGGCUACUGAUUUAUUUGAGUUAAUUUUAUACCCAGCCACUUUGCUGAAGGUGUUUAUCAGUUAUAGUAGUUCUCUGGUGGAAUUUUUGGGAUCACUUAAAUAUACUAUCAUAUCAUUUGCAAAUAGUGAUACUUUGACUUCUUCUUUUCCAAUCUGUAUCCCUUUGAUCUCCUUUUGUUGUUUGAUUGCUCUGGCUAGAACUUCAAGAACUAUAUUGAAUAAGUAGGGAGAGAGUGGGCAUCCUUGUAUAGUCCCUGAUUUUAGUGGGAUUGCUUCAAGUUUCUCUCCAUUUAGUUUAAUAUUAGCUACUGGUUUGCUGUAUAUGGCUUUUACUAUGUUUAGGUAUGGGCCUUGAAUUCCUGUUCUUUCCAGGACUUUUAUCAUGAAGGGGUGUUGAAUUUUGUCAAAUGCUGUCUCAGUAUCUAAUGAAAUGAUCAUGUGUUUUUUAUCUUUCAAUUUGAUUAUAUAGUGGAUUAUGUUGAUGGUUUUAUAUAUAUUAUACGAUCCCUACAUACCUGAGAUGAAGCCUACUUGAUCAUGAUGGAUGAUUGUUUUCAUGUGCUCUUGGAUUUGGCUUGCAAGAAUUUUAUUGAGUAUUUUUGCAUUGAUAUUCAUAAGGGAAAUUGGUCUGAAGUUCUGUUUCUUUGUUGGGUCUUUGCGUAGUUUUGGUAUAAGAGUAACUAUGGCUUCAUAGAAUGAAUUUGUUAGUGCUUCAUCUGUUUCAAUUUUGUGGAAUAAUUUGGAUAGUAUUGGUAUGAGGUCUUCUAUGAAGGUGAUAGAAUUCUGCACCGAACCCAUCUGGACCUGGGCUCUUUUUGGUUGGGAGACUUUUAAUUUCUGUUUCUAUUUCUUUAGGAGUUAUGAGGUUGUUUAUAUGGUUUACCUGUUCCUGAUUUAACUUCGGUACCUGGUAUCUGUCUAGGAAAUUGUCCAUUUCCUCCAGAUUUUCAAGUUUUGUUGAAUAUAGGCUUUUGUAGUAGGAUCUGAUGAUUUUUUGAAUUUCCUCUGAUUCUGUAGUUAUGUCUCCCUUUUCAUUUCUGAUUUUGUUAAUUUGGACACACUCUCUGUGUCAUCUGGUUAGUCUGGCUAAGGGUUUAUCUAUCUUGUUGAUUUUCCUCAAAGAACCAGCUUUUGGUUCUGUUGAUUCUUUGUAUAGUCCUUUUUGUUUCUACUUGGUUGAUUUCAGUUCUGAGUUUGAUUAUUUCCUGCCUUCUACUCCACCUGGGUGUAUUUGCUUCUUUUUGUUCUAGAGCUUUUAGGUGUGCUGUCAAGCUGCUGAUAUAUGCUCUUUCCUGUUUCUUUCUGCAGGCACUCAGCGCUAUGAGUUUUCCUCUUAGCACAGCUUUCAUUGUGUCCCAUAAGUUUGGGUAUGUUGUACCUUCAUUUUCAUUAAAUUCUAAGAAGUCUUUCAUUUCUUUCUUUAUUUCUCCCUUGACCAGAUUGAGUAGAGCGUUGUUCAACUUCCAUGUAUAUGUGGGCGUUCUUUCCUUAUGGUUAUUGAAGACCAACUUAAGCCCGUGGUGGUCUGAUAGGAUGCAUGGGAUUAUUUCUAUCUUUCUGUAUCUGUUGUGGCCUGCUUUGUGCCCGAUUAUAUGGUCAAUUUUGGAGAAAGUACCAUGAGGUGGUGAGAAGAAGGUAUAUCCUUUUGUUUUAGGAUAGAAUGUUCUAUAAAUAUCUGUUAAGUCCAUUUGGUUCAUGAGUUCUCUUAGUCUGUCUAUGUCUCUGUUUCAUUUCUGUUUCCAUGAUCUGUCCAUUGAUGAGAGUGGGGUGUUGAAAUCUCCUACUAUUAUUCUGUGAGAUGCAAUGUGUGCUUUGAGCUUUAGUAAGGUUUCUUUUAUGUAUGUAGGUGCCCUUGUAUUUGGAGAAUAGAUAUUUAGGAUUGAGAGUUCAUCUUGGUGAAGUUUUCCUUUGAUGAAUAUGAAGUGUCCUUCCUUAUCUUUUUUGAUGACUUUUGGUUGAAAAUCGAUUUUAUUCGCUAUUAGAAUGGCUACUCUGGCUUGCUUCUUUAGACCAUUUGCUUGGAAAGUUGUUUUCCAGCCUUUCACUCUGAGACAGCCUUUCCAGUCUGUCUUUGUCUCUGAGGUAUGUUUCCUGUAGGCAGCAGAAUGCUGGGUCCUCAUUGCGUAUCCAGUUUGUUAAUCUAUGUCUUUUUAUUGGGGAGUUGAGACCAUUGAUGUUGAGAGAUAUUAAGGAAUAGUGAUUGGUGCUUCCUGUUAUAUUCGUAUUUGGAUAUGAGAUUAUGUUUGUGUGCUUUUCUUCUCUUUGUUUUGUUGCAAGAUGAUCAGUUUCUUGCUUUUUCUAAGGUGUUGCUUGCCUCCUUAUGUUGGCCUUUACCAUUUAUUAUCCUUUAUAGUGCUGGAUUUGUAGAAAGAUAUUGUGUAAAUUUGGUUUUGUCAUGGAACAUCUUGGUUUCUCCAUCUAUGUUAAUUGAGAGUUUUGCUGGAUUCAGUAACCUGGGCUGGCAUUUGUGUUCUCUUAGGGUCUAUAUGACAUCAGUCCAGGAUCUUCUGGCUUUCAUAGUCUCUGGUGAGAAGUCUCAUGUAAAUCUGAUAGGUCUGCCUUUAUAUGUUGACCAUUUCCCCUUACUGCUUUUAAUAUUCUUUCUUUGUUUUGUGCAUUUGGUGUUUUGACUAUUAUGUGACAGGAGGAAUUUCUUUUCUGGUCCAAUCUAUUUGGAGUUCUGUAGGCUUCUUGUAUGUUUAUGGGCAUCUCUUUCUUUAGGUUAGGAAAGUUUUCUUCUAUGAUUUUGUUGAAGAUAUUUACUGGUCCUUUGAGCUGGGAGUCUUCACUCUCUUCUAUACCUAUUAUCCUUAGGUUUGAUCUUUCAUUAAGUCCUGGAUUUCCUGUAUGUUUUGGAUCAGUAGCUUUUUCCGUUUUACAUUAUCUUUGAUAGUUGUGUCGAUGAUUUCUAUGGAGUCUUCUGCUCCUGAGAUUCUCUCUUCUAUCUCUUAUAUUCUGUUGGUGAUGCUUGUAUCUAUCGCUCCUUAUUUCUUCCUUUGUUUUUCUAUGUCCAGGGUUAUCUCCCUUUGUGCUUUCUUUAUUGCUUCUAUUUCCAUUUUUAAUUCCUUCACCUGUUUGAUUGUGUUUUCCUGGAAUUCUUUCAGGGAUUUUUGUGAUUCCUCUCUAUAGGCUUCUACUUGUUUAUUUAUGUUUUCCUGUGUUUCUCUAAGGGAGUUCUUUAUAUCUUUCUUGAAGUCCUCCAUCAUCAUGAUCAAAUGUGAUUUUAAAUCUAGAUCUUGCUUUUCUGGUGUGUUUGGAUAUUCAGUGUUUGCUUUGAUGGGAUAAUUGGGCUUUGAUGAUGCCAUGUAGUCUUGGUUUCUGUUGCUUGGGUUCCUGUGCUUGCCUCUUGCCAUCAGAUUAUCUCUAGUGUUACCUUGUUCUGCUAUUUCUAAUAGUGGCUAGACUGUCUUAUAGGCCUGUGUGUCAGGAGUGCUGUAGACCUGUUUUCCUGUUUUCUUUCAGUCAGUUAUGGGAACAGAGUGUUCUGCUUUCAGGCGUGUAGUCGUUCCUGUCUUCUGUUCUUCAGCUGUUCCCGUGGGCGUGAGUCCACCAGGCAGGUCAUUUGGAGCAGAAAAGUUGGUCUUAUGCCUGGUCUCAUGCCUGAAGUCGUUCCUCAGGGGCUGUGUUUCAGCUCUCUGUGAGGGCAGCAACCAGAAGGGCCUGCCCCGUCUUUUCUUGGGUCUCUGUGCACAGGUGUCCAGAUGGCACUAGGUGUUUUCCUCUGGAGUCAGAAAUGUGGGCAGAGUGUAGUCUCUUCUGGCUUCCCAGGUGUGUCUGCCCCUCUGAAGGUUUAGCUCUCCCUCCCACAGGAUUUGGGUGCAGGCAGCUGUUGACCGGGUCCCUUCAGAUCCGGGCAAUGUCAGGACUGCAGGGGACCUGCGGCUUGAGUGCCCCUAUCUUCCUGUUCCUAGAGUCCCUAUACAGUUUCCUCUUGGGCCAGGGAUGUGGGCAAGGGUGGGCAGUGUUGGCGGUCUCUCCUGCCCUGCAGUCUCAGGAGUGCCCACCUGUCUGGGCAGUGAGCUCUCUCUCCCUCAGGGUUUGGGAGCGGGAGCUAUCUCAGUGACAUCUUUUGCAAUUGUUUUAGAAACUGACAAGGUGGUUCUAACAUGAGAAUUAAAAAAAAAUACCCAGAGUAACUUGAGCAAACUCAAAACAAAGCAAGUCUAAGAUGCAUUUUAAAAAAGAAGGUUAAUUGGAAGGCUAGGCUCUCUGAUAUUUGUUGCAAUAAUUUGCCCAUAUAAAAGACAUCCAAUCUGGUUAUUCUAUUUAUAAGCUGUAUGCCUAGAUUGGGCAGAUCUAUCACUGUACUAAUGUAUCCCCCAGCUAUAAGACCCUUUGAUACUUUCUCCUGGCCACAUGGUUUGGUCCAUUUUUACUUUCUUCUCCUCUCCUGCUUUCUAUCCUUUUCCUCUUCCUAUCUGUCUGAAUUCUCAAAGACCUCCCAUCACACCUUUUCCUUCCAUUUCCCAAUCAUAGGUUCUAGCCUUUAUUUGACCUGUUAAAAUGGGCAAGAUGUGGGGUUGGGGAUUUGGCUCAGUGGUAGAGCGCUCGCCUAGGAAGCGCAAGGCCCUGGGUUCGGUCCCCAGCUCCGAAAAAAAGAAAUAAAAAAAAAUGGGCAAGAUGUUCACAUGAUAUCAACUGUUUAUGCACUUUCCAGGGGCAGCCCCUCUUGAGGAAGCAGAAUUAACAUCAAAAUACAAACAGCAUCAGGGCAACCCACAACAUUUUCCCCUUUUUCUCCAAUAAUAAAAGGCUCUUUCCCCUCAGAUAUAAACUGAGCAUACUCAUAAAAAUUAUGUAAGUUAUGAAGUAUGAUAUAUACUGAAUAGCCAGUCAUUGAUAUUUGUCAAUUUAGAUAAAGUACUCUACCAUCUAUUCUAACUAAAGAUUUUACAAUUCUGUCCCUGAAUCAUGUUCAUUUUAACUUAUCUUCCCAUCUGAAAUUCAUCCUUACAAAUCUAGAUCAUGGAUCUGUGCUCUGGAGCUGGGACUGCCCUACAGGCCUCCAUACUUGAGUCCUGCCUGGAGAGAGCUGGUCUUCCAGGAGUGCUCUUGCUCCUGGGUCCACAGGUGAGAAACCCACUUUCACUCCAAUAACUGCCCAAAUAGGGACCUGCCAAGAGUGCACAGGGCACAGGAGCCACAGAUCAGCUUGGGACAGGAUCCUUCCUGUUUCCAUCUGCACUCCAGAGCUAAGACAGUCCUAUAGCUCUCUGUACCCAAAUCCAUCCUGGAGAGAGCUGGGCUUCCAGGAGUGCUCUCACUCCUAAGAUCACAGGACCACAGGCCCACAGGAAGGACAAACUUCAGUCAGAGACAGCAAGACCAACUAACACUAGAGAUAUCUAGAUAGUGAGAGACAAGUGCAAGAACUUAAGCAACAGAAACCAAGGCUCUUUGGCAUCAUCAGAACCCAGUUCUCCCAUCACAGCAAAUCGUGGUUACCCCAAUACACUGGAAAAGCAAUAUUUGGAUAAAAUCACAUCUCACGAUGAUGAUAGAGCACUUUAAGAAGGACAUAAAAAACUCCCUUAAAGAAACACAGGAGAACACAGGUAAACAAGUAGAAGCCCUUAAAGCGGAAACACAAAAAUCCCUUAAAGAAAUACAGGAAAACACAGCCAAACAGGUGAAGGAAUUGAAUAAAACCAUCCAGGAUCUAAAAAUGGAAAUAGAAAUAAUAAAGAAAUCACACAGAGAGACAAUCCUGAAGAUAAAAAAAACCUAGGGAAGAGAUUAGGAGUCACAGAUGCAAGCAUCACCAACAGAAUACAAGAGAUAGAAGAGAGAAUCUCAGGGGCAGAAGAAACCCCAGAAAAUAUUGACAUAAUAGUCAAAAAUGCAAAAUGAAAAAUGCUCCUAACUCAGUACAUCCAGGAAAUCCAGGACAAAUGAGAAGACCAAACUAUAGGAUAAUAGAUAUAGAAGAGAGUGAAGGUUCCCAACUUAAAGGACCAGUAAAUAUCUCCAACAAAAUUUUGGAAGAAAACUUCCGUAACCUAAAGAAAGAGAUGCCCAUAAACAUACAAGAAGCCUACAGAACUCCAAAUAGAUUAGACCAGAAAAGAAAUUCCUCCUGUCACAUAAUAAUCAAAAUACCAAAUGCACAAAACAAAAAUAAUAAAAGCGGUAAGGAAAAAGGUCAAGUAACAUAUAAAGGCAGACCUAUCAGAAUUACACCAGACUUCUCAACAGAGACCAUGAAAGCUAGAAGAUCCUGGGCAGAUGUCACACAGACCCUAAGAGAACACAAAUGCCAGCCCAGGCUACUAUAUCCAGCAAAACUCUUAAUUACCAUAGAUGGAGAAACCAAGAUGGUCUGUGCCAAAACCAAAUUUACACAACAUCUUUCCACAAAUCCAGCCCUACAAAGGAUAAUAGAUGGAAAACUCCAACACAAGGAGGGACACUACACCCAAGAAAAAGCAAGAAAGUAAUCUUGCAACAAAUCAAUAAGAAGAUAGCCACACAAACUUAAUUCCACCUCUAACAACAAAAAUAACAGGAAACAACAAUCACUAUGCCUUAAUAUCUCUUAACAUCAAUGGACUCAAUUCCCCAAUAAAAGAACAUAGACUAACAAACUAGAUAUAUAAACAGGACCAGCAUUUUGCUACAUACAGGAAACACACCUCAGUGACAAAGACAAACACUACCUCAGAGUAAAAGGCUCUUGGAAAAACAAUUUUCCAAGCAAAUGGUCCCAAGAAAGAAGCUGGAGUAGCCAUUUUAAUACUGAAUAAAAUCAACUUUCAACCAAAAGUUAUCAAAAAAGAUAAGGAAGGACACUUCAUACUCCUCAAAGGAAAAAUCUACCAAGAUGAACUCUCAAUUCUGAACAUCUACACCCCAAAUACAAGGGUGCCCACAUUCAUAAAAUAAACUUUACAAAAGCUCAAAGCAUACAUUGUACCACAACAAUAGUGGGAGACUUCAACAUCCCACUCUCAUCAAUGGGCAGAUCAUGGAAACAGAGAUAUAGAGUAACUAACAGAAGUUAUGAACCAAAUGGAUUUAACAGCUAUCUGUAGAACAUUUCAUCCUAAAACUAAGAAUAUACCUUCUUUGCAGUACCUCAUGGUGCCUUCAUCAAAAGUGACCAUAUAAUCUGUCACAAAACAGGGCUCAACAGAUACAAGAAGAUGAAAUAAUCCCAUGCAUCCUAUCAGAUCACCACAGACAAUGGCUGGUUUUCAAUACAACAAAAACAACAGAAAGCCCACAUACACAUGGAAGCUGAACAAUGCUCUACUCAAUGAUAACCUGGUCAAGGAAGAAAUAAAGAAAUUAAAGACUUCUUAGAAUUUAAUGAAAAUGAUGGCACAACAUACCAAAAACUUAUGGGACACAAUGAAAGCAGUGUUAAGAGGAAAACUCAUAGCUCUGAGUGCCUCCAAAAAGAAACUCGAGAGAUCAUACACUAACAGCUUGACAGAACACUUGAAAGCUCUAGAACAAAAAGAAGCAAAUACACCCAAGAGGAGUAGACAUCAAGAAAUAAUCAAACUCAGAGUUGAAAUCAACCAAGAAGAAACAAAAAGAAAUAUACAAAGAAUCAACAAAACCAGGAGCUUGGUUAUUUGAGAAAAUCAAUAAGAUAAACACUUAGCCACACUAGCUAGAAGGCACAGAGACAGUAUCCAAGUUAACAAAAAUCAGAAAUGAAAAGGAAGACAUAACAACAGAAAUUGAGGAAAUUCAAAAAAAUUAUCAGAUUCUACCACAAAAACCUGUACUCAACAAAACUGGAAAAUGUGGAUGAAAUGGACAAUUUUUCUAGACAGAUACCAGGUACCAAAGUUAAAUGAGGAACAGAUAAACCAUCUAAACAUUCACACAACACCUAAAGAAAUAGAAGCAGUCAUUAAAAGUCUCCCAACCCUGAGAAGCACCUACACAAAUGUUCAACAUCCUUAGUCAUCAGAGAAAUGCAGAUCAAAACAACCCUGAGAUUCCACCUCACACCAGUGAGAAUGGCUAAGAUAAAAAACUCAGGUGACGGCAGAUGCUGGCAAGGAUGUGGAGAAAGAGGAACACUCCUCCAUUGUUGGUGGGAUUGCAGACUGGUACAACCAUUCUGGAAAUCAGUCUGGAGGUUCCUCAGAAAAUUGGACAUUGAACUGCCUGAGGACCCAGCUAUACCUCUCCUGGGCAUAUACCGAAAAGAUGCUUCAAUAUACAACAAAGACACAUGCUCCACUAUGUUCAUCGCAGCCUUAUUUAUAAUAGCCAGAAGCUGGAAAGAACCCAGAUGCCCUUCAACAGAGGAAUGGAUACAGAAAAUGUGGUACAUCUACACAAUGGAAUACUAUUCAGCUAUCAAAAGCAAUGACUAUGAAAUUCGUAGGCAAAUGGAUGGAAGUGGAAAAUAUCAUCCUGAGUGAGGUAACCCAAUCACAGAAAAACACACAUGGUAUGCACUCAUUGAUAUUAGCCCAAAAGCUUGAAUUACCCAAGAUGCAAUCCACGGACCACGUGAAGCUCAAGAAGAAGGAUGACCAAAAUGCGGAUUCUUCACUUCUUCUUAAAGGGAGGAACAAAAAUAUCAAUAGGAAGGGAUAUGGAGGCAAUGCUUAGAGCAGAGAUUGAAGGAACGGCCAUUCAGAAUCUGCCCCACAUGUGGCCCAUCUAUAUACAGCCACCAAAACUAGAUAUGAUUGAUGAAGCUAAGAAGUGCAUGCUGACAGGAACUGGAUAUAGAUCUCUCCUGAGAGACGCAACCAGAGCAUGUCAAAUACAGAGGCAAAUGCUAGCAGCAGACCACUGAACUGAGAACAGGACCUCCAUUGGAGGAAUUAGAGAAAGGAUUGAAAGAGCUGAAGAGGCUUGUAACCCCAUAACAACAACAAUGCCAACCAACCAGAGCUUCCAGGGACUAAACCACUGGGCACCAAUGGAAGGAGAAGCCCUUGGUCCUGCCAAGGUUGGAACCCCAGUGUAGGGAAUUGUUGUGGAGGGUUGCAGUAAGGGGGGGGGUGGAUGGGGAGGGGAACACCCUUAUAGAAGAAGGGAAGGGGGUAGUGGGUUUAUGGACAGGAAACCGGGAAAGGGGAUAACAUUUGAAAUGUAAAUAAAGAAAUAUCCAAUAAAAAAAUUAAAUAAAAAAAGCUCAGGAUCAGAUGCGUUUAGUGCAGAAUUCUAUCAGACCUUCAAAGAAGAGGUAAUACCAACACUCUUCAAACUAUUCUACAAAAUAGAAACAGAAGGAACUACAACCAAUCCAUUUUUUGAAGCCACCAUUAUGCUUUUACCUAACCCUCAUUUUUCCAGUGUAGGGGAAUGCCAGGGUGUUGAGGUGGGAGUGGGUGGGUGAGAGUGGGAGCAUCUUCAUAAAAGCAGGGGUAGGAGAGGAGGGGGGAUGUGAGAGGGAGUAAAGGGGAUAACAUUUGAAAUGUAAAUACAUAAAAUAUCCAAUAAAAUUAAAUAUAAAAUGCCAAAUCUAGAUCAUCUUCCUUAAUGCUAAACAAUUUAAGUUUGAUUUUAAGACAUUACUAGUCUUCAACCUCUUCAGAGAUCCGAGAAGGUACUGAAUAUUACCUGAAUGUGUAGGAAGCACAAAGACAUAACUUCAAAAUCAUAAUCGGUGGAGUCAGUUCACUGCCUGGACACUCCUCUAAUUUCUUAUAAUGUUGGAGCAUCUGUCUUCAGUCGUACAGCCCAGAACCAUCUGACAGACCUUAAGUGAUGUGGGAAUAAGAAGGAUCAGCUUACCCUGUCUUCUGUCAUGGCAGAGCUUAGCAGUCGACUAUCCCACAUCUUUUUGGAUAGUAUUUUUGUCUACAGAUGAAUUGGGGCCUUUCUUGUCCAGUGGCUACCUUACCACGACCAAAGGAACUUGCAUGGAGGUAAUGAUGCUCAAUAUCUACCUUGAAGUGGAGAGGGGAUACUGACAGGAGCACACCUGUCUCAUAGUCAAAUGAUCUUUGAUGAUGAAGUAAUAUUAAAUGCCAUAGUCUAUGAAUCUCUGACAUUUUUUGAAGACCACCUAAAUAUAUAGCAUAACUGAAUUGUCAAACAUUAUGAUGCUUAGCUAUUUACUAUUUGAAUAAUUGUGAAAACACUUGUUGUGUUUAACUAAAUUAGAAUCUAGUAGCCAUGAGUUUUGCUGCCUGUAAGUAGUAAAUAUUACUUAAUCACAUUACUUAAUCAUUCUAAACAGUUUGUAAUAGCAGCUAUAUAAAGGACUAAGCCUUUGUAUUCUUAUGAGUUGCAUAGAUGCAAUGUACAUCUAAGAGUAACAAUAUUAAUUUUAAAUUUUUUAUCAAUAUACAAAAUUUUAUACCAAUUAAAACCUUAAACCUGUCUCUCUCUCUCAUCUAUCUAUCUAUCUAUCUAUCUAUCUAUCUAUCUAUCUAUCUAUCUAUCUAUCCUGUACCAAUGUAAGAAAUUAAAGCCUCAAUUUUGCAUCAAAUAUAAAUGUUUCUACCAAUGUAAGAUUAUGGCUAUACAAUGCUUUGUUUAAGAGUAAAUGUAAUGCCCUAUCUCUAUUUGUCUAUUUCUCUAAUUUCUAUAAUAUUACUUUAUCUCCCAUUUUCCUUCCCAACCUCCUCUCAUUUACCUAAGAAGGAAGGAUAGAGAGGAGGAAGAGAAAGGUAGAAAUCCCUAAGUUUAAGCUCUGUAGUUUCCUCUCUGUCCAAAGUUAAGCAUUUGCAGGCUAUUCCUUGUGGGGCUCUGGCACCUGGGACUUUUCCCGGAGAUCGCUGGGCAGACUAGGUGUAUGGGUUCAGGUGAAGGGAGAGAACUUGGGCAGGGAGGGGGAACAGCUUUUGUGGCUGCGGGUCCUUCUCCUUUCUGCUGCUCCUGCUUUGGUUGCUUGGCAAGGCUGAGCCAGCAGGAGACUGACUAGUUGGCAAGGGGUGCAGGAGAGCUUCUGGCGGAGAUUUUGGGAGAGCAGAUCUCUUCCCAUGUGGUGGUGUUAUAGCUCUUUUGACAGAAGUUCUCAGAUGAUGGAAUAAUUCCUGCACACUUUUAAUUCUGAACAUGAUUUUUUUUAUCUUUAUUAAUUUGGGUGUUUCUUAUUUACAUUUCUAUUGUUAUUCCCUUUCCCGGUUUCCGGGCCAACAUCCCCUAACCCCUUCCCCUCCCCUUCUCUAUCGGUGUUCCCCUCCCCAUCCUCCCCCCAUUCCUGCCCUCCCCUCAACAAUCACCUUCACUGGGGCUUCAGUCUUGGCAGGACCAAGGGCUUCCCCUUCCACUGGUGCCCUUACUAGGCUAUUCAUUGCUACCUAUGAGGUCAGAGUCCAGGGUCAGUCCAUGUAUAGUCUUUGGGUAGUGGCUUAGUCCCUGGAAGCUCUGGUUGGUUGGCAUUGUUGUUCAUAUGGGGUCUCAAGUCCCUUCAAGCUCUUCCAGUUCUUUCUCUGAAUCCUUCAACGGGGGUCCUGUUCUCAGUUCAGUGGUUUGCUGCUGGCAUUCGCCUCUGUAUUUGCUGUAUUCUGGCUGUGUCUUUCAGGAGAUAUCUACAUCCGGUUCCUGUCAGCCUGCACUUCUUUGCUUCAUCCAUCUUAUCUAGUUUGGUGGCUGUAUAUGUAUGGGCCACAUGUGGGGCAGGCUCUGAAUGGGUGUUCCUUCUGCCUCUGUUCUAAAUUUUGGCUCCCUAUUCCCAAGGAUAUUUUUGUUCCCCUUUUAAAGAAGGAGUGAAGCAUUCGCAUUUUGGUCAUCCUUCUUCAGUUUCAUGUGUUCUGUGCAUCUAGGGUAAUUUGAGCAUUUGAGCUAAUGGCCACUUAUCAAUGAGUGCAUACCAUGUGUUUUUCUGUGAUUGGGUUAGCUCACUCGGGAUGAUAUUUUCCAGUUCCAUCCAUUUGCCUAUGAAUUUCAUAAAGUCAUUGUUUUUGAUAGCUGAGUAAUAUUCCAUUGUGUAGAUGUACCACAUUUUCUGUAUCCAUUCCUCUGUUGAAGGGCAUCUGGGUUCUUUCCAGCUUCUGGCUAUUAUAAAGAAGACUGUUAUGAACAUAGUGGAACAUGUGUCUUUUUUAUAUGUUGGGGCAUCUUUUGGGUAUAUGCCCAAGAGAGGUAUAGCUGGGUCCUCAGGUAGUUCAAUGUCCAAUUUUCUGAGGAACCUCCAGACUGAUUUCCAGAAUGGUUGUACCAGUCUGCAAUCCCACCAACAAUGGAGGAGUGUUCCUCUUUCUCCGCAUCCUCGCCAGCAUCUGCUGUCACCUGAGUUUUUGAUCUUAGCCAUUCUCACUGGUGUGAGGUGAAAUCUCAGGGUUGUUUUGAUUUGCAUUUCCCUUAUGACUAAAGAUGUUGAACAUUUCUUUAGGUGUUUCUCAGCCAUUCGGCAUUCCUCAGCUGUGAAUUGUUUGUUUAGCUCUGAACCCCAUUUUUAAUAGGGUUAUUUGUCUCCCUGCAGUCUAACUUCUUGGGUUCUUUGUAUAUUUUGGAUAUAAGCCCUCUAUCAGUUGUAGGAUUGGUAAAGAUCUUUUCCCAAUCUGUUGGUUGUCAUUUUGUCCUAACAACGGUGUCCUUUGCCUUACAGAAGCUUUGCAGUUUUAUGAGAUCCCAUUUGUUGAAUCUUGAUCUUAGAGCAUAAACCAAUUGGUGUUUUGUUCAGGAAAUUUUCUCCAGUGCCCAUGUGUUCGAGAUUCUUCUCCACUUUUUCUUCUAUUAGUUUGAGUGUAUCUGGUUUGAUGUGGAGGUUCUGAACAUGAUUCUUAAAUACAGUUUUUGGAUGGGUCAGUGUCUGACAGAAGGUACUUCUGAUUCCUUUGUCCUGAGAGCUUGUGAAGAACUCAUCUACAUAUUUGGGGCGUGGUCCUGUUUCUACAGGAUCUAUCUUGAGCCUACUUGACCUAUGGUCACGUCCUCAUUUGUGGAGGAGGGGCUUGGGGCAUUGCCCUACAUGACUUAUCUGUCUCAAACCUUUCUACAGGGGUCUCUCUCUGUGUGUGUGUGUGUGGUGAUGGUGGGGGGCUGCAGCUAUGUGAGACUGGGAUUGCGCCUGCCAUCCCUUUUAGGGUCUCCAGGGAUUCGACCUAUCUUUACCAGGAAUCAGGGUACCUUUCACAGCCCUGAAAAAAAUGAUUUUGUGAAAGGCUAAAGCAACGCGCUUGGAGGUAGGAGUAAUCUGCUAGCGAAACCUUUACCAUGAAAUCUCCUCAAUAAACCCAAGAGUGAGAUGACCCCAGAGGAGCUGCAGAAGCGGGAGAGGAGGAAUUCAACACAGGUCCCCUCUCGGUGCUCACACAGUCGGUCAAAAACAACAGGCAAAUGCUCAUUAACUGUUGUAACAAGAAACUCCUGGGCCGGGUGAAGGCCUUUGAUAGGCACUGCAACCUGGUGCUGGAAAAUGUGAAGGAGAUGUGGACUGAGGUCCCCAAGAGCAGCAAGGGCAAGAAGAAGUCCAAGCCUAUCAACAAGCACCGCUACAUCUCCAAGAUGUUCCUGGGUGGGGACUCGGUCAUUGUGGUGCUGUGGAACCCGCUCAUUGCUGGCAAGUAAAGUGGAGGCCAGCCUCAGCCCUCUGAGAGCCUGCUCCCUGCCCAGCCGAGUCCUGCAGAGCUCUGCCCAAUGAGCUAGAAAUAAAACCCUGUGCUUUUUAUUUUUUAAAAAAAGAAAAAAGUUGAUUUUGUCAAAGGAUGGCUAGCUGGCAUCCUUUGCCUUUCAGUCUCUAUGUGCUGAGAAAGUUCAUGGCUUAGCUAAAGUUCUGACUGUAACCGUCUGAACGGCUGGAUGGGUGAGCUAGCUGUUUUGGAAAUGUCUUGGAAGCAAGUCUUCAGAGGAAACAGCUUCGAUGUAGUUGAUGUAGAAUCAAGCAAGGAGCUGGAAUGGAAGGUUUCAGAAUCUCAGCACCCCAAAAUGUGAGUCUUGUCAGGGCUGUCUCUGUCCUCUUUCAUUCUGCAAUAUACAAUCCUUAAAGCAACACACAGCUCUGUAAACAUCUUCAUGUGGAACAUGCAGGGCGCACAGAUCAGUUCAGGAAGAUCAAUGACGAAAGACAACUACCUGUCUCUAGAGGUUAGUUUGAUUACGUAAUCAAACUAAAUAUAAAUUUCCAUUCAUGCCAUCUUAAAGAAUGGUAUGCAGUAAUGUCCUGAGAAUUUUGUACCCAGUAAGUGUUAUUGGCUGUAUACAGACGUUUAAGUCUCAGCCUGACCCAGAGCUGUCUCUGUGUACAGAGAUAUAUGCAUCACCACAGAUACAUCACCUAUCCUGUUGACCUUGUCACUCUCUUUCUUGUCCAUAGCCAAGGUCUUCAGGGAGUCUCCCUUUGUCAUGUUUGAUUUUUAUCAAAUUGGAAGCAACCUGUAGCUUUCCUUUUCCUGUGGAAAGAUAGGCAUAACCUCUCCCUCAGAGUAAUACAUUUCCUGUUUUCCAUUCUGAUGUUAGGACAACCUUAAAAUAAACAGGUUGUAUUAGUUCAGUAUUCCCCCCACAAGCCAAUGUCUUUCAGCAGCUGUAGUUUUUUGUUCAUUAGCAUUUAAAGGAUUUAAGGUUAAUAAAGCACGAUGUAAUCUAUCUCUGGGGGUCUUUGUUGCCUCCUUUUUCCUGUUAAGCAUCUCUUUUAGAGUACAAUUGGAUCUCUCCACACUUGCUUGUCCUGUAGGAUUAUGCGAUAUGCCUAUAACAUGUUUUAUAUUAUAAUAUGUAAAAUAUUGCUUCAUCUUAUUAGAGACAUAUUCCCAGCCAUUUUCUGUUUUAAUUUGUAUGGGUAUCCCCAUAAUGUCCAUAACUUCUAACAAAUGUGUAAUUAUAAAAUCAGCCUUUUCUAAAGCUAAGACAGUUGCCCAUUGGAAUUCUGACUAUGUGUCUAUAGUAUGAUGCACAGAUUUCAGUUUACCAAACUCUGUGAACGGAACUCAUUUAUUUGUCAAAUUUCAUUUCUUUGGGUACAUUUAGGGUUACUUUCUGUAGGUAAUGGAGUUUGGUUAUAUAAUGAGCAAGCAGGAUAUUGCCUUAUAAUUUCCUUGGCUUGUUGCCAAUUGAUAGAGAAUGCUUUCCUUUAACCUUUGCUGUUAACAGUGUUUUUCUUUUUAAUGGAAUUCCGAAGCCUCUAGCAUAGUUCCUAUCAAUAGCUGAUCAAUUUUGUUAUUACUUUGUGCCAGAGGGCCCGUCAGCCCUGUAUAAGAUCUUAUGUGUGUUAUAUACAGCGGACAACUCCUAUUCUUGAUCAUUUGUUAUGGCUGAAUAAACUGAACUCAAUUCAGAAACAUCCUGGAUAAGUUCAGCAGUCUCUCUAUGUAAAAAGCCCAAUCUACUUAUUGAGAGUCAGUCAGUAUAUUAAGAGACUCUUGAAAAAUCUGAUAACACCAUAAAUGUUGCAUAUAAUUCAGAUUUUUAAACCAAUUUAUAGGGACUAUAAGCCACCUUACUUAUAUCUUUUGGUUUAUAUCUUGCCUUUUCUGAUUUAUUAACAUCAGUAUAAAAUGAAAGGGCUCUAGUAAUUGGAGUUCUUUUUAUCACAUGAGGGAGACUCCAAUUAGUCCUUUUUAUGAACUAAAGUUGCUUACUUUUAGGGCAUCUGUAGUUAAUCCCUCCCAAGUAAUUACUGUAUGAUCCUUGCCAAUGUUCAUCUUGUGUCCAUAACCAGGCAAUCUCUGCACUAGUAAAAGGUACCACAAUUUCAGCUGGAUCCAUUCCAGCUAAUUGUUGAAGACUCAUCUUUCCUUUAUUACCAAUUCAGAAAUUUUUUCUAUGCAGGUUUUUAAUUUCUUACUUUGCUUAUGUGCUAAAAAUAGCCAUUCUAAGAUAUAAUCUUCCCUGUGCAUGAGAAUUCCUGUAGGGGAAUGAGUAGAAGGCAAGAUAACUAAGAUACAGGCCUUCUUUGAAUCAAUAUGAUCUAGAUGUGUAUCCUGCAAUUUUCUUUCUACCAGAGCUAACUCUUUUUCAGCCUUAGUUGAUAAUUUCCCUGGGCUAUUUAAAUCUUUAUCACCUUGUAAGGUUUGAAAUACAUUGCCUCGCUCUUGAGUAGCCAAACUAAUUGCAGGCCACAGCAAGUUAAUAUCUCCUAGUAGUUUUUGAAGGUCAUUAAGAAUCCUUAAUUGGUUUCUUCUGAUUUGCACCUUUUGUGGCCCAACCUUUUAUAGACUUAUUCUAUAUUCUAUAUAAUUAAUUGAAUCCCCUCUUUGUAAUUUUUCAGGAAUGAUUUGAAAUCCCCAGCAAGGCAAGUUUUUUUUUUUUUUUACUUCAUCAAACAUUCUUUCCAGGAUAUUUAUUGCUGAAUCAGCCAAUAGGCUAUCAUCCAUACAAUGAUAAAUAGUGGAUUGAGGAAACCGAAUCAUCUUCAAUGGCUGUUGUACAAAAUAUUGACAAAAGGUAGGUCUAUUUAACAUUUCUUGUGACGGGACUUUUCUUUUUUUCUGUUUUAGUAGUUUUUUGAGAAUUUUUUAUUGAUUAUUUUAUUUAUUUACAUGUCAAAUGUCCUCCUUCCCAGUCUCCCCUCUGUAAACCCCCGUCACAUCUCCCCUCCCCUUUGCCUCUAAGAGGGUACUUCCCCCCUACUCCUGCCUCACCCCUCUAGCAUCCCCCUUUUCUGGGGCAACAUGUCUCCACAGGAUCAAGUACCUCCCCUUCCAUUGAUGCCAGAUAAGGUAAUCCUCUGUUAUAUAUGUACUGGGAGUCAUGGACCCACCCACUUUGGUUGGUGGUUUAGUCCCUGGGAGCUCUGGGCGGGGGGUCCUGUUAGUUGAUAUUGUUGUCCUUCUUUCGGGUUGCAAUCCCUUUUAGCUCCUUUAGUCCUCCCCUAACUCUUCCAUUGGGGUCCUCAGACACAGUCCAAUGGCUGGCUGUGAGUGUCUGCAUCUGUCUUAGUCAAGUAAUGAUAAAACCACUCAGAGGACAGUCAUUCUAGGCUCCUGUCUGCAAGCACUUCUUGGCAUCAGCAAUAGUGUUAGGGUUUGGUGUCUGUGGAUGGGAUAGAUGUCAAGGUGGGGCUGUCUGUGGUUCAGUCUCUCCAUUUUUUUAUUCCUGCAUUUCCUUUAGGCAGGAACAAUUCUGGGUUAAAAUUUUUGAGAUGGGUGAAUGGCCCCUUGCCUCAACUGAGGACUAUGCCUAUCUACUAAACAUGGUCUCUCUAGAUUCUAUCUCUUUGCUGUUGGGUAUUUCAAAUAAUGUCAUCCUCUAUGGGUCCUGUGGACUUCUUGCAUCCCUAGUGCCUGAGACUAUCUAGUGGUUACACUGUUACACAUCUCUAUUUAUUCUUCUGGCCCUCUGGACUUCCCUUAUGUCUAGUCCCAUACCUGAACCUGCCCCCUUUUCUUUCCCUCUCCCCUCUCCCACCCAGGACCCUUCCUCCCUCUACCUCUCAUGAUUAUUUUGUUUCCCCUUCUAAGUGAGAUCAAAGGAUCCACACUUCAGCCUUCCUUCUUGUUAAGCUUUAUAUGGUCUGUGAGUUGUAUCGUGGGUAUUCUCAGAUUUGGGGCUAACAUCCAGUCAUCAUCAAGUACAUACCAUGUAUGUCCUUUUAGAUUUGGGUUACCUCACUUAGGAUGAUAUUUUCUAGUUUUAUCCAUUUGCCUGCAAAAUUUGUGAAGUCAUCAUUUUUAAUAGCUGAACAAUAUUCCAUUGUGUAAACGUACCACAUUUUCGGUAUCCAUUGUUCUGUCAAGAGACAUCAAGGUUGUUUCCAGCUUCUGGAUAUUAUAACCAAGGCUGCUAUGAAAACAGUGGAGCACAUGUUCUGUGUUGGAGCAUCUUUUUGACUUCUUUGUCAAAGAUCAAGUGUCCAUAAAUGCGUGGGCUUAUUUCUGUGUCUUUAAUUCUAUUCAUUGGUCAACCUGUUUGUCUCUGUACCAAUAGCAUUUGUUUUUUGUUUGUUUUGUUUUGUUUAUCACCAUUGCUCUGUAACAUAGCUUGAAGUCAGGGAUGGUGAUUCCCCCAGAAGCUCUUUUAUUGUUAAGAAUCGUUUUCACUAUCCUGGGUUUUUUUUUUUUUUUUUCUUUCCAUAUGAAAUUGAGAAUUGCUCUUUCCAUGUCAGUGAAAAACUGUGUUGGAAUCAUGAUGGGGAUUGUAUGGAAUCUGUAGAUUGCUUUUUGUGAGAUGGCCAUUUUUACUAUGUUAAUUCUACCAAUCCAUGAGUAUGGAAGAUCUUUCCAUUUUUCUGAGGUCUUCUUUGAUUUCUUUUUUCAGGGAUUUGAAGUCCUUAUUGUACAGAUCUUUCACUUACUUUGUUAGAGUCACACCAAGAUAUUUUAUAUUGUUUGUGACUAUUGUGAAGGGUGUCAUUUCCCUAAUUUCAUUCUCAGUCUCUUUAUCCUUUGAGUAGAGGAAGGCUACUUCUUUGUUUGUGUUAAAUGUAUAUCCACCCACUUUGCUGAAGUUGUUUAUCAGUGGUAGGAAUUCUCUGGUGGAAUUUUUGGAGUAACUUACAUAUACUAUCAUAUCAUCUGCAACUAGUGAUAUCUUGACUUUUUCCUUUCCAAUUUUACCCCUUUGACCUCCUUUUGCUGUGUAAUUGCUCUGGCUAGAACUUUGAGUACUAUAUUGCACAGAUAGAGAGUGGGCAGCCUUGUCUAGUCCCCAAUUUUAGUGAAAUUGCUUCAAGUUUCUCUUUAUUUAGUUUGAUGUUGUCUAUUGGUUUGCUGAAUAUUUCUUUUAUUAUGUUUAGGUAAGGGCCUUGAAUUCUUGAUCUAAUACUUUUAACAUGAAGGGGUGUUGUAUUUUCUCAAAGACUUUGCAGCAUCUAAUGAGAUGAUCCUGUGAUUUCCUUUGAGUUUGUUUAUAUAGUGGAUUACUUUAAUAGAUUUCUGUAUAUUGAACCAUCUCUGCAUCCCUGAGAUGGAGCCUACUUGAUUGUGGUGAAUGAUAGUUUUGAUGUGUUCUUGGAUUCAGUUUACCAGAAUUUUAUUGAGUAUUUUUUGCAUCAGUAUUCAUGAAGGAAAUUGGUCUGAAGUUUUCUUUCUUUUUUGGGUCUUUGUAUGGUUUAGGUAUCAGAGUAACUGUGGCUUUAUAGAGUAAGUUAGGUAGUGUUCCUUCUAUUUUUAUUGUGUGGAAUAGUUUGAGGGUGUUGGUAUUAGCUCUUCUUUGAAGGUCUGGAAGAAUUCUGCACUAAAGCCAUCUGUCCCUGGGCUUUUGUUUGUUUGUUUGGGAGAUUUUUUUUAAUGACUUCAUCUAUUUCUUUAGUGGAUAUGAGACUGUUUGGCUUACCUGCUCUUGAUUUAACUUUUGUACAUGCUAUCUCUCUAAAAAGUCAUACAUUUCAUCCAGAUUUCCCAGUUUUGUUGAGAAAGGCUUUUAUAGUAUGAUCUGAUGAUUUUUUGAAUUUCCUCAGUUCCUGUUGCUAUGUCUCUCUUUUUAUUUCUGAUUUUGUUAAUUUGGAUACUGUUUCUGUGUCCUUAUGUUAAUUUGGCUAAGGGUUUAUCUAUAUUUUUGAUUUUCUCAAAGAACCAGCUUUUGGUUUUAUUGAUUCUUUGUAUUGUUCUCUUUGUUUCUAACUGGUUGAUUUCUGUCCUGAGUUUGAUUAUUUCCUGCUAAGUGCUCCUCUUGCAUAUGCUUGCUUCUUUUUGUUCUAGGGCUUUCAGGUGUGCUGUUAAGUUGCUAGUGUAGGAUCUCUCCAGUUUCUUUAUGAGGGCACUUAAUGCCAUUUUUUUCUCUUAGUACUGCUUUCAUUGUGUCUCAUAAGUUUGGGUAUGCUGUGUCUUUGUUUUCUCUGAAGUCUAGAAAGUCUUUUAUUCCUUUCUUGAUUUCCUCCUUGACCAAAUUAUCAUUGAGAGUUAUUUAGUUUCCAUGGGUAUGUGGGCUUUCUGUUAUUUUUGUUGUUAUUGAAGUCUAGCCUUAGUUUGUGGUGAUCUGAUAGGAUGUAUGGAAUUAUUUCAAUCUUCUUGUAUUGUUUUCUGUCCGAUUAUAUAGUGAGUUUUGGAGAAGGUUACAUGAGGUGCUGAGAAGAAAGUAUAUUCUCUUAUUUUGGGGUGAAAGUUCUGUAAAUAUCUGUUAAAUCCAUUUGGUUCAUAACUUCUGUUAAUUUCAUGGUGUCUCUGUUUAGUUUCUGUUUCAAUGACUUGUCCAUUGUUGAGAGUGGGGUAUUGAAGUUGUCCACCAUUAUUGUGUAAGGUUCAGUGUGUGUUUUGAACUUUAGUAAAGCUCUUUUAUGAAUGUGGGUGCCCUUGCAUUUGGGGUGUAGAUGUUUAGAAUUGAGAUUUUAUCUUGGUGGAUGUCCUUUGAUGAAUAUGAAGUGUCCUUACCCAUCUCAUUUUAUAUCUUUUGAUUGAAAGCCUAUUUUAUUGCAUAUUAGAAUGGCAACUCGCACUUGUUCUUGGAACCAUUUGCUUGGAAACCUUUUUUACAGCCUUUAACUCUUAUAUGUUGUCUGUCUUUGUCUAUGAGGUGUGUUUCUUCAAUGCAGCAAAAUGCUGGAUCCUGCUUAUAUAUCCAGUCUGUUUAUGUCUUUUUAUUUGGGAAUUGAGUCCAUUGAUGUUGAAAGAUAUUAAAGACAUAUGAUUAUUGGUUUCUGUUAUGUUUGUCGUUGGUGGUAGAAUUACCUGUGUGUGAUUCUCUCCUUUUGUGUUUGCUGUAUGACGAUUAAUUUCUUGUUUUUUCUUUGGUGUAGAUACUCUCCUUGUGUUGGGGUUUUCCUUGUAGAAUCCUCUGUAGGGCUGGAUUAGUAGAUAUAUAUUGUUUAAAUUUGGUUUUGUCGUCGAAUAUUUUAGUUUAUCCAUCUAUAAUGAUUGAGAGUUUUGCUGGGUAUAGUAAUUUGGGCUAGCAUUUAUGUUCUUUUAGUGUCCACAUGACAUCUGUUCAGGAUUUUCUGUCUUUUAAGGUCUCUGUUGAGAAGUCUGGUGUAAUUCUGAUAGGUCUGCCUUUAUGUGUCACUUGGGUUUUUUCCCUUGCAGCUUUUAAUAUUCUUUCUUUGUACUGUGCAUUUAGUGCUUUGCUUAUUACAUGACAGGAGCAUUUUCUGAGGGGUCCAAUCUAUUUGGUGGUCUGUAGGCUUCUUGUACUUUCAUGGCCAUUUUAUUUUUAGGUUGGGGAGGUUUUCUUCUCUGAUUUUGUUGAUGAUAUUUUCAGGCCCUUUGAGCUGGGAAUCUUCACUCUCUUCUAUUCCUAUAAUUCUUAGUGUCUUAAUUAGGGUUUUAUGGCUGUGAAGAGACACCAUGAUGAAGGUGUCUCUUAUAAGGACAACAUUUAAUUGGGACUGUUUUUCAGGUUCAGAGGUUCAGUCUAUUAUCAACAAGGCAGGCAUGGUACAGGAGGAGCUGAGAGUUUUGUAUCUUCAUCUGAAGGUUGCUAGCAGAACACUGACUUCCAGGCAGCUAGGAUGAGGGUCUUAAAGCCUAUGCCCACAAUGACACACCUACUCCAACAAUGCCACAACUUCAAAUAGUGUCACUCCCUGGGCCAAGCAUAUUCAAACCAUAACACUUAGGUUUGGUCUUUUCAUUGUGUGCUGGAUUUCCUAGAUGUUUUGGGUUAGGAAUGUCUUAUGCUUUGCAUUUUCUUUGACUGUUGUGUCAAUAUCUUCUAUGGUAUCUUCUAUGUCUGAGAUUCUUUCUUCUAUAUCUUAUAUUCUGUUGGUGAUGCUUGCUUAUAUCUGUGGCUCUGUGGCAGGACUUUUCAAUGAUAUAUUUCUAUUGGACAAUUUCUAUUAAAGGUAGGCACUGAAAAAGCAAACCUUUUCUUAUUAUAUUCCUGUAGAGGAUUGUGAAAAAACAAUCUUUUAGAUCAAUCACUAUGAUAGUUCAUUCUUUUGGCCAGAAGGAAGGCAAUGGGAUUCUGGGCCAUAGGGAACUCACUGACUGAAAAAUCUUAAUUGCUUUGAGAUCUGUCAUCCUCCUCCAUUUUCCAGACAUGCUGAGCAAAGGAAGCCAACUAAAGGGAGCACAUAUUGUGUAAUUCAAUUCAAAUGAAACUCUAGACAGUGCAAAUUUAUCCAUUCCAACAAAAAGCAGAUAAUUUGUCUAGGAAGGGUGUCAGAGGGCAUGGCUAGGGGCAGAGCAGACUGAGGGAGUUUCCCAUCUGAAAUCCCAGCACUCAGGAGUCUGAGGUAGAAUUUCAGAGUUCCAAGCGAGCCUAGGGUAGAAAAACCCUAAUCUCAACCAAUCAACCAAAAAACAAGCAUCAAAACCUGUAAUAACAAAAAUUCUAAAAAAAAAAAAUCCCACCCAAAAUGAAAUAUGAGAAGGGGACACCACAAAAGGCCAUUAGAAACUUGGCAGCAGUCUACCACCUCAUUUUCUGUCUGUUGAUGUUAUGAGUUUAUACAUCAGCAUAGCAUAAUUUAUCACUGCAUGUCAAGAAAAGUAUGAAAAAUGACAUAGUUGCAAUAUUCUAGGUAUGGGUAUUCAGUCUGGGAGGAGGGGUUCUAGAACUGGGGUGCAAAGCUAGGAAAAACAUUUUAGGAGUAAAUUGUCUCUCUCUUUACCUCCAACAGUCUUCUCUUGUCACAUUUCCUUCUUCAGUAUACCAACCAUGAUGGAUACUGUUCAGAUGACAGUACUAUUCCUAGAGUUGAUAGUUGAAGUAUAUGAAAGAUUGGUAACUUGAAUAGUGUAGAUAUUUAAAGAACAGUUAAGAGUAAGAAACAAACAAUAACCAGAAUGACUAUUACAAAGAAAGGCAGGGAGUAGAACUGGCAGGAAUCCCCAAAAGAGUUUUACAAAGAAUAGGUGGCUAUUAGUGUCUAAUACAGAGUCUCAUUCGACAUCUUUAAUUCAGCUAACUAUACAAUCCAAUUAUCGAGAGUACUUCAUUUCUUUGCAUCAUUCUAAUUAACUGAAAUGUGUUCAUUUCAGCCUAUUCAAGAAAGUAAUUUUCUCUGCAAGUGCCUUAUUUAUUUGCUGAGCUAUCAAAGGAAAAAAAAAAAAGAAAGAAGGGCAAUUUAGGAUUUAAAUGAAACUUGACUGUUUUAAAGAGCAGAAGUUACAAUGUUACAUAUGCAAAGAGUAAACCAUAGAUUCUUCUAGAGAGUCUUAGCAGAAGCCUAUGAUUCAAGUCGGUAUGCCUAGUUUAACUUGACUUUUCUCAGAUUAAGUUCAUCUUCUCAGCAAACUUUUUUCCCAGGCCCAUGGAUUGACUCAGUUUGGCUGUGUUACCAGGUGGAGCAUCCGAGUUGUGCUGCAGCAACAUUCCAGUGAGUUCCAGGGCUUUGAGUUUAGAGUUAUUUACAUUUUUUUACAUUGGUAUUUGAAAACUGCCUGUUUUCCCUUUCAGCUGCAGUAUGCAGACAUGUUUGUGGGUAUAUAGAAGUGUUGGGAACUCACUUUGACAAAGCUCUCAAAGCUUCUGGAAACCAUUCAACAUACUGAUCUAUGAAACUCACAAUAGAUUGAAAUUACUAAUUAAUUCAAGAUGAAAAAACCACACAAUAUGUUUUUAUUUUGACCAUCUGUUCCUAUGAAUGUAUUUUUAGUAUUAUUUUGUGUGUAUGUGUGUGUGUGUGUGUGUGUGUGUGUGUGUUGGAGUCAGAGGAUAGCUUGGAGGAAGCAGUUUUCUCCUUCCAUGUGGGUUUCAGGGAUUGAACUUAGGUCAUCAGCCUUGAAUAAGCAUUCUUUUUUUUUUUUCUGUUCCUAUUUUUUUUUUAUUAACUUGAGUAUUUCUUAUAUAUAUUUCGAGUGUUAUUCCCUUUCCCGGUUUCCGGGCAAACAUCCCCCUCUCCCCUCCCCUUCCUUAUGGGUGUUCCCCUCCCCACCCUCCCCCCAUUGC